UUGGCCAACAUCGUCUUUGAAUACCUUCUGGAGGCGCUUUCUGACUAUAGAUUCCAGCUUGGGGCAGCUGGAAUCAUAGAAAGUCCAUGAAAGUCCAUUCACUAUCGGUGGGGUGCUUUGAGCUUUUGUACCAUGAAAACUGCCAAGAAGCAAAAGUAAAGAUGAGGUGAUAAAAAGAAGAGAGGUCAAAGAAUUGGUGCUAACUAAAGCCAUAAUCGAGUUAGAUUUGUCUCCCAGACGGAUGAACGAGACUCUAUUUAUAGAGUAGAUAAAGUCACAGCAUAAUUUAAAAAAAGAAAAGAAAAAAAAAGAAGAAGAAGAAAAAACGAAUUAAUGGACUAUUUCUCGAGCAAGCUAGGCUACUUAUUUCGAGGGACCACGUGAAGGCCAUAUCUACUUUCGGUGUUCUCGUACAACGAUAUAAACUCUCAGAUGCCAUUAUUGUAAUUGAAUCGUGUGUUCCUCAUCUUAGCUUGUUUGAUUUAUGUCGUUAUUUCUGAAUAAUUUUUUCCUUCUUGUAACUGAAAAAAGAAAAAGAGAUUCGCAAGUAUCUAAUUCAUUCGUUUGAAUUGCUAUUUUUAAGAGAUUUUGUUAAAAAAAAAAUUUACAAUAAUUUGAUAUAUAUAAAAUAAAAAGAUGAUUAACUAAUGCGUUCGCAAAGGACGUAAAAAUAUUAUUUUUGUGAUUUUGGAUGAGACUGUUUUUUAAAUACAAUAAAAUUUUUAAAAAGUACUCUAAAAGGUAAUCUAAAAAUUAGUUUAAAUUUUUUUAAAAUUUUAAAAAAUAUUUCAAAAUAUAUUCUAGAAAGUUUUCUACUCUUAAAUAUCCUAAAAUAUUUUCUGAAAAAUAUCCCAAAAUAUAAUAUAAAAACUUUGUUACAACAAAAUUUUUUAAAACACUCCCAAAAAUAGCUAAUCCAAACGGAGAGAUAAUCCAUUCAAGCAGUUUUUGCCCAGAAUAUUGUAAAACAAAAUUUACUCAAAAUGCAUUGCGACAGGUUUCGUGAAGAAUCUUUUGACAAUUAGAGAUAGAAAGUUCGGAUGUGUUUGUACUAAAAGUGCGCAAAAAUGAAAAGAAAAAGUGUUUGUACUAAAAGUAGAUGUGAGAGAGAGAUAGAAAGUUCGGAUGUGUUUGUACUAAAAGUGCGCAAAAAUGAAAAGAAAAAGUGUUUGUACUAAAAGUAGAUGUGAGAGAAAAAUGUGAAGACCUAAUAAAGAAAAUGUUUUUCACUCUAAUGUGUGAUCUGACACGGGAAUGGAAACCAUUGAAUUAUCUUCUGGUAAGACUAGUUGCGUCCCAAUGAAAGACAGAAGACGAGAGGUUAGCCCAUAAUUUCCCAGCAAUUGCAUCAACCAAAUGUAGUACCCAUUGCAUUGGAGUCUUGAGUGGGGUUCAUCAUUUCGAGCUUGAAAAGCUCAAACAAUUGCAAUUCCACGUGCAAAUGUAACAUGAUUACAGGACAUGGGCUGGAGUUCACAGUAGAGGGCACGGUAUGAACUCAGCUGUACAAUCUUGAAAGUGCUUCUUUCCACUGGAAAGGGGAAGGUGACGGAAUACUUCGCAUUUUCCACCGUAAAACCAUUGGCGCCAAUAAUAUGGACAUUUUUAGCUCAAACUUGCUAUAUGUUUAAAAGUGGCUGUGAGAAGACGGAAAUUCCGAGUAUUAUUCCUAUUCUGCAACCAGCCACGUUUGCAAAUUAAUAAUUGCAAAGUUAUUCCGACAUAGAUUAACAUAUCCAUGCAUCGAUUUGUCCUAAGCACUUGGCAAUUGUUGCUUCAACGUUUUCCUCUUAGUUGAUACCUAAUUCUGCCAAAAUCGAGAUGUGGUCGUACCUUGUUGGCUUAUUGCAUAGAAUAUGCAGUAGCACAACUGGCUAUAGUGGAUUGUGUUUAGAUGAUAAGCAACUUGUUGAAAAGUAACAUAUUUAUGAAAUAUCUUACUCUUAACAUCUGGUCACAUUCUCACCUUCACUACCAAAAGAAAGAGAAAAAAGGUUAGAGAGUGUGGCUUAAUGCUAUCGGCAAUUCAAUCCCUAGCAGGAUAUACCGGUAUUUAAGUAUAGGAAGAGAAAACAAAAUGGGAAAAAAGUGAGGAAAAGAGAAAAGAUAAAAACAUUAAGAUGAAAAGGGUACAUUUUAUACAAAUAGGUUACACGGGUAAAAUGCCUACUAAAAAAGUACAAGCGGCUAAAAUGUAACUAUAUACCCCCUAUAGUUUAAAAACCUGUUUAUAACCCGCAUAGUUUGGAUCACUGUUAGUUUUUUUGUUAAAACUAAAGGUUUUAGUAAAAGGUCGAAAUCAAAUUAAUAAAUUGACAAAUAUACAUUUCCAUAAUUUUAUUCUUUUUUUUUCUUUAACACACACACACACACACACACACACACUCUCUCUCUCUCUCUCUCUCUUGGGAAGAGAAGAGAUGAUUUUGAAAAUUUAGGUUGUGUUUGGAUUGCAUUUUCCGUCAUUUUUCAUGAAAAAAUUACUGUAGCGAUUUGAUAUAUGUGAGGGAAAAAUGUGAUAGGGAAAUGUGAUCACGAAAAACGACAAUAUUUUCCGACGGGAACAAGCAAUCCAAGCAAGGCUUUAUACUUUGGUCUCCAGAAUCUUAAUUUUCUCCAAAUAUGAAAAAGAUGGAAGGAAAAUAAAAAAAAUAAAUAAGAAACAAAAAAGAUGGAAGGGAUAUGUAAAACAAAUAAAUAAGAAACACAAAUAUCAAAUGUUUUUUGGCUACAAAUAUCAUUAUGGGUUCCUAAACCAAAUAUUUAAUAGUAUUUUCUAAUUCUAAUUUAUCUAUUUUUAAUUCAUUUUCUUCUUUUUAUGUUUGGGGGGAAAAGGGGAAGUAAUAAAAAGAUAAAUUUGUCAAUUUAUUUGUUUAUUUUGACUUUUACUAUUUACCAUAAGUUUUAACGAAAAAACAUUACCAAACCACAGGGGAUAAAAGGUGAUUUAUCCUAUAUAUAUACAUAUGCAUACACACACACAUAUAUAUAUAGACACACAGACAUAUAUGUACAUAUAUAUGUGUAUGUGUGUGUGUAUACAUAUACAUAUAUAUGCAUAUAUAUAUACAUAUAUAUACACACACACAUAGAUAUAUAUAUAUAUAGAGAGAGAUAUGUGCCAAUAUAUGUAUAUAUACACAUAUAUAAAUAUAUACAUAUAUAAACACACACACAUACAUAUAUAUAUUUAUAUAUACAAGUGUAUGCACACGUAUACUCGCAUGCAAAUUUAAAAAAUUGCAGUUUUCUCAUGAAUUCACUUUUUAGUUUAAGAAUUCAAAACUGAGCAUGUUGAGUUCGCUGAGCGGUGGUUGAAACCUCAACAUCACAUCCCUUGAUUUGUUUUGGCUCUUUACCGUAUUGAACAGCUGAAGAUGACUCGUAAAGAGAUUUAUAACUACUUACUAUCAUAAAUUUCCAAGUUGAUCACGUGAAUUACUCUAGAAUACGAAGAUGGUGUUGACUAUUGAGUGGCAUUUUCUCACUUGUUCAUGAAAUUUUAAAUAGAUCAUCGAGAUGUCAAUAUAUUAACGGUUAGUAGCCAUGAGUCCAUGACAGACGAAAUCAAAAAAUGGACUUGCUAAUACAUUUUCUUGGUUUAAACCCAUGAAAGUUGACCUUUGUUUACUUUGGUUACCUACUAUAUUUUCUUUUUUGCUGCAAGCUUCUGGACUUUACACGUGUUUUAGGUUUCAGCCAUUGACGAAGACAAACCCCGUGAGUCUUCCGCAAGGUUGCUUUGUCCUAUCUCAGAUUUGCCACACUUACUUAUCAGCUUAUUUAUCAAUUACAUCGAUGCAAUCCAAAAUUUUUUGUAUACUAUAUAUUUGUUACACCAGCGGUAACCCGAAAAUAACAAAAGAACUACUAAAUAGUAACUCAAAAUGUUCAGUUUUUUUUUUUUUGUGGGAAAUGAUAUUAGCACUUAAAAAUUCUCAAAACACUUCUUAAACUUCAUCUAACGCAAAAGAAGGGAAGGAGUGCUUGAAACUUUUUAAGUAGUGCUAAUAUCAUUUCCGUUUUUCGUGAUUACGAUAUAUUAUUCUCUUCUACAUAAACUAUUCAACAUGGAACCGUGGUUCGUAAAUUAUGUCAUUCGGUUUCGCUGCAUUUGCCUUUAUUCAGACCAUAACAUUUGCCCUGGUCCCAUAUUUGUAGUGAGUUAAAAAGUUCUCCCCCUCGUGAUCUUGGACAAUUCCUCUGACAAGUUGCCAUUUCUUUUCAAAUUUUUAGAAGCACUGCUUUAAUAUAAUUGUGACUCUUUUUUUUUUUCCUUUUCCUUCUAUUUAAUUAUAAUUUGAGAAGCAAUUAAAAAAAUCUAAAUAUUUCUUAAACAAUUUAAACUACUAGAACAAUUUGAAUGAAUUUCAAAUAUUUCAUCAAAUUCCUCAAUCCAAACAAAGCUCAAAGUUAUUUUCGGUUGUUUUUCCCAGUAUGUCCAUAGAUUUAAUGAUAGAAACAGUCUUUUACAUAUAUUUUCUUAAUCUAAAUAAAGUAAUACUGGACUUAGUAACUAAGUAAUACUAGUACUGUGGGUGUGUUUGGAUUACAAGAUUUUUUUUAAAAAAUUUUAAAUUUUGUUUUGCUUACGUCAUGCACACAAUUUUCAAUCACUUUUUUAUCUCACAUGCAUUACAUCAUAAAAAAAUGUUACAUUAAUUAUUUUAAAUAAAUAUUUCAAAUAACCUCAAAUCCAAACAAAACUGCUUGUCAUGCGUGUUUCUUGCGGAUUUUUUUCAGCAGAAAUUGGAGGUACUUCAUUUAUAUGGCUAAACUAUGCUUAGAAAUUAUAUUUGAAGUGAUAUAUAUAUAUAUAUAUAUAUAUAUAUAUAUACACACAUACAUACACACAAAUAUAUAGCAUGUAUAUGUAUGUAUAUGUGCCUAUAUAAAAUAAUUAAGGGUUAAUUACAUUUACCUCCCCUAAGGUUUAGCCAAACUACUAGUCAAACCUUGAGAUUUAAUCAAAUAAUAGUCUAAUCCCUUGACUAAGCAAACGAUUAUCAAAUACCCCCUUGCUGUCCUAAAACGUUAGUUAAGGUAUGAUGUCAGUAACAAAACUAUUAUGAGAGGACAAAAAUGCCCUUAUAGACCCAUGUGCCAUCACUAAUUUCUUUGACUUUUUCCUGAAGUAAUAAUAACAUUUUUUUUCUUCUCUUUGUUUCCUAAAAUAUACUAAAAGAAAUUGACAGCCCAAAAACCACAAAAGAAAAAGAAAAGAGUUGCAAAUUUUUAUGAAAGGUCAAUAUCACUAGUUGUUAACUCAUAGGAAAAAAAAGAACAAAGAGAAAUUAAAUGAAAAUUAUUAAAAAACAUAACAAUAAUAAAAUAUAUUAUUAAAUGAAAAGAGGAGAAAUUAAAUGAAAAUUAUGAAAAAAAAAAGAAAAAGAGACUAUACCAAAAUCAAGAAAAAAAUGAAAGUCCUUUUGAGUUGAGAGCUUCACCUUGUAGUGGGUUUAGAUUUAAAUAGCCUUUUAAUUUAAUGGCUAGAGUUGAAGCUAGGAUUGUCAAUUGGGAUAACAUAUAAUUUGCUAGCAACCUUCGUUCAAAAGACUUCUUCAAAACCAAUAAGUGUGUACUGGGUAUAAUUGGGAUAAUACCAUGUGUUAGCUUUCAAGCACAAAAGGCACAUAAUUGCAUGGACGAUUUGUUACUUUUCUACCCCUAUUGGUACAAAUCAAUAGUUGCUAUAUGCCCCAUGCCAAUUUUCUACAUGGUAAAUAUGAGGAAUUUGCGAAUAUAAAGUGAAAUGGAUUAUUUUUGUUAUUAGAGAUCUAUAAAUUUAAAAUGAAAUGGGUUUCACCUCUUGAAUAGAGUGAUCUUGAUGUUUUCUUGUUGACUUGUUGGCUGUUUGUGUUCUAUUUGUCAUGAACAUUAUUUUCAUACAAAAUUUGUAGAAUGUGGUUUGAGUAGUGAUGAGAAUAGGAGAUGCAGCUGUUUGGUUUUUAUUCUAUUUAUCAUGAAUAAAUUUUUCAUAAAAAUUUUAUUUAAUUUGAUUUGAGUAGUGAUGAGAAUACGAGAUAAAGCUAUUUAGACUUGUUUGGUGAUUUUGUGGUCACUUUGGGCCAAAAUUGAUGAUCAAAUCAUAAUUUACACAAAAUUUUAAGUCCCAGCUGCAAAUUUGACAAAGAUCCACCAUUGAAUGUUAGUAGCUAGCAGCCUUCGACUGUAGCUGCCAUAUUCAAGCUUUUAGAAGUUAAAGAUGAAGAAGAUUAAAAUAAAAGCAAGGAAUUAUGAUUUUCUUAGAGUAUAAAAUUAUACCUAGGUGUUUGAAAAUUCGUUCCUACUGUAAAAUACAAUACAGGCACUAGUCCAGCUAAUAAUGCUUAUGGUUAUCUUGUCUUUUCACCAAUUCCAUCUACGAUACUUAACGGAAGUUACUAAUAGGGGGGCAUUUGUUAUUUGACCAAACUUCAAGGAUCAUUUGGUAGUUUGGCAAAACCUUAAGGGAGGUAAAUAUAAUUAACCCAAUAAUUAAUUGGAGCAGUUGAGUAGAUAUUUAGCAUUGGUCUUCGACACUUGGAAACUAGUUCUCCGCUUUGGAAUUGUCAAAAGUGAGCUACUGUACAGAAUUCAAAAUUUUACAAUCCGUACACUUUCUAGUGAUAUAUAUAUAUAUAUAUAUAUAUAUACAUACACACAAAUAUAUAGCAUGCAUACGUAUGUAUAUGUGCAUAUAUAAAAUAAUUAAUUGGAGCAGUUGAGUAGAUAUUUAGCAAUGGUCUUCGACACUUGGAAACUAGUUCUCUGCUUUUGAAUUGUCAAAAGUGAGCUACUGUACUGAAUUGAAAAUUUUACAACCCCUACACUUUCUAGAAAAGUUAGACCAAUACUAGUAGAUGAAGUGUGAACACCAUCUAGGCCCGAGAUGGUAUCAUAGACUGACAGAGUUGGUGAAAGUAGACAUCAAUAGGUACUUCGGGUCAAAGGAAUCGAAGACUGACAGAGUCGGUGGAAAAUAGAUAUCAAUCCGUAUUUUGGACUGAAUUUUCUCACCCUCAUUGAUUUUUUUGGUUUUUUUGAACUGUGGAUUUUGUAAAUUCCCGAUUUCCCUAUUUCAAAAAUGACCAUGGAAAAUGUCCCUGCUCAUCACACAGUAACACAGUAAGACACCCAUGGAAAAUGACCAGCUCAAUCUCAAAUGUGUUUGGAUAGAAGAUUAUUUUGAAUAAUUUUAAAAAAUAUUAUUAUAACAUUUUUUUGAUAUAAUGUAUGCAAGAUAAAAGAAUAAUUAAAAAAUAUAUUUAUGAUACAAGUAGAUAAAUUCGUGUAAAUAGUUUACUAUCUAAUGCUAAUUUAAGUUUUUUUUCGACUACUUUUGUGUCUUUCUUAGUGAGAAAGGUAUGUUUCAUCAAGUAUUGUCAAAGCAUUAUUAGAGAGACAAAAAUAAUUAUUAGCUGAGAUAAUCCAAACUGUACCUUGUUUGUUAGAAUAAAAAUUAGAUGCCAUCUUUUCUCCCAAAAUGUUCAGGAAAGCAAACUCAUUGCUAAACCCAUCACGUAAUUGAGGUUGUUCGAGACCAUCCAUACUUUAUGAAUUAAUGUUUUCUACAAAAGAUGAAUAAAUAUAAAUAUAUAAAUAUAUAUACAUGUAUGUAUCUUCGGUAGAAAAAAUGGAUGAAGGGUACAAUUUUUCAUAAGAAGUACGAGGAGCUAAUGUACAUACCAACACUGAGCUAAAGUAAUCGUUGCAUGAUGAAAUCUGAAAAGGUUGAAGUUUUCUAGUUACUUAUUUAUUGAUUUAGUUAUUCAUUUUUGCUAAUAAUCAACAUGGAGCAAUAAGCUCAAGUCCCCUUGUGAUCUUGAACUGACCUAUUUUCCUAGACAAGUUAAGAACUCAUUUUAUUUAAUUAUGAUACAUUCCCUCAUUUUAUUUAUAAUUUUUACUUUUUUUAUGAUAACGAUAAUAUUUUUAUAACUUAAUAUAUCCGAAUCUACAAGGAAGGGAGUCUAAAGAGAUUUAUGAUAUCUACUUAGUUAUAUCUUAUUUUGUCUUUCCCGAUGUGUCUACACAGUCAAGCAUGGAUAUGGUUAUGGUUUACUACAGAAAGUGUUAGUGGGAUUAGUUUGCAUAAGACUGCCAGUCAUGCGUGCAGGGACGGAGCCAGAAAUUUAUUUUUGGGGGGCUGAAGUGUAUUAAAAUUUUUUUUUGUGACGAAAUAAAUAUAUUUAAUAAGUAAAAUUUAGAAUCAAUAAUUAUAAAAAUAAUAAAAACAUAUAAUUAUACAUACCCAAAAAUUUGUUCUGAAUUUUUGGGUAUGUAACUUACCCAAAUCUACAAAUCUACAAAAGAAACAACGAAAACAGAAGGCCUAUCAAGAUAUGUAUAGUACUCGGAGGCAUAAACCGCUCAAAAAAAUAGUUUAAGAAUUGCCCAUCGCAUACUAAAAUAGUUUAAAAAUUGCCCCUUUCAUAUGAAUUUGAUAAGUUCUUGGAAAUCUCAAAAUGCUCCAAAAAAAUACUCUAAACUAUCAAUAAUCUAUCACUCACCCUGCUUAUUGAUUUCAUGAUCAGAAUUCGAAAUAAAAUAAAAAACUAAGGCGGUCAAAAAGCGAAAUAGCAGGAAAACUUUGAUAGUAAUUGCAAAUUUAAUUCUUCUUGAAGUGCAAGGGAUGUCAUAAGCGUUAAAUCAAGAACUUUUCUAAAUUCCAGGAAAUACAUUUACAGCAUUCUUUGUUCCAGAACAUACAUUUAAAACAGCACCAACAACUAUUGUUGGCAAGCUUCUUGAUCAACAAAAGAAAGCCCACUCCACCAUAUAGUUCAUGACAGCGAUGCACAAAAAAUACUUUGCCAACAACCAAACAUCUGAAAUAAAAAAAAAAGGCUAUGUUUCCCAGGCUCUAUGUUUCCGAGUCUCACAGGCUCUAACAAAGUCCAGAAUAUAUGAUGAAUAACUACAGAGUUCAGACCUGCUCAAAACAUUUUAGGAAAAUUCAAGUUAUUACAUCACCAGCAGGUGAAAACAUAAAUAACUAUUGAAAAUUUCAGACAAUAAUACCAGUAUCCUAAGAGACACAUACGAAGAGAAAGGUAGUACCUACCUACCUACCUAGUUACCUACUGCAUUUUAGAAGCAAGCAUUUGGAAUCCCCUAUAUAUAGGGGGUUUUCCGGCGGCUUGGGGGGGGGGCUUAAGCCCCCACCAGCCCCCCCUUAAAUCCGUGCCUGCAUGCGUGACUGCUAAUUGUGAGAUAUCUAACAAAAAUUGCAGAAUUCCAAUUAAAUGAUUGAACUCUAUUUUGGAUUGUUAGAACUUAGAACUAUAGUUGGUACAGUAUCACAGAAAAUAGUUGUCUUGCCCCACGAAUGCAGGCACUAACCUUUACUUUUGAAUUGUUAGAGGUACUCCAUUGAAGAAUUCUAUACAUGCCCCUUUUCUAGAGAAAAGUUUAGCAGGUUUGUUUGGAUUGCUUCAUAUUUCCCCAAUUUUAUUUGUUUAAAUCAUUUUACAAUUUCCAAUACACCUUUUUAUCUUCCCAAUAUCUUUUUAUCUCACAUACAUCACAUCACAAAAAGUGCUACAGUAAAAAUAUCCCAAAUAAUCCCAAAUAACUUACAAUCCAAACAAACAAGUACCUUGAACGCCAUUCAGGAACUUACCUCCAAAGAAGUUUUUUCUCAUCUUCUAACCCUCCAACUUGAAUCUUAAAUUGACAGAAUUCCGGAUUCCAAAUUCCGGAUUCAAAUACCCAAUUGAUUGAUGGUUCGUGUUUCAAUCAUUAAUUACCUAUUGGUUUCACCAUCUCCUUAUUCUUUAUUUCAAAGCUUUAUAUUUGGGUAAAGAUUCAUGCAUUUAUGAAUGCUAAAUUCAUCUCAAAAUGCCGAAUAUAAGUAAGCAAUCCCAAGGCUUUACCUAUUUUAGUGCCUUCCUCAGUGGUGAUGCGCAAUUUUCAUCAAGUAGGCUAUAUCCAAGAAGUACUUCUAACAUGUCUUGUUUGUUUUGCAAAAUGAUGCAGCCAUCAUCUCCCCCAAACUGUUCAGUCGAAAAAAAAGAAUAAGAAAAAACAAAGAAGAUAAAAAUUUAUAGCUUUAUGCAUACCAAAAAAUUAGGUUAAUUAACUAAAAAUUCCAUCAACUUUUGUGGUACUUUUUUUUUUUUUUUUUUUUUGGUGUUUUGGUGGUUGAGUAUUUUAUAAGAUGAAUUAUGCAAUUAACAACUAAAUAAAACUUCUUCGAACGAGAAGCCAUUGGUCCUAGGGCUAAAAAUGAUAUCAAAAAAUUGGAGGUCUUGAAUUUUCAUUUUUCUCUCUAUUUCUUAAAUUUCACUAUUACUAAAAAAGAGAAAACAACAUAAAACCUCCCCUACCUCUGCUCCAGUGGUGCAGUUAUACCUAAAAGAUUAAAAAGAUGUUUGUUAAUUUAUGCCGUCCAUUGCGUCAACUUGAUCGACAUUUUAUGGUUAAUAUACUAUAAUGCACAAAAGCUGAGGGUGAUGCUGGAUGAUACCAAAACUUUUGCAAAUUGAUCUGUAUGUCAUCAAUGCUGGAAGUGUAGAAUGAAGAUAGACAUGUCCGAUGUUGCUAUCCUGUUUGUUGUAUUCUAUAAAGCUACUUCAUUUUUAAUGCUAAUUUUCUUCUUCUUUUCAGGCGAAUUUUUUUCAAGUUCACCUUUUUAGAAGAUUUCAUAAGUUUAAUCAUAAUGAUGAGUGAGAAAUGGAUGAGCUACUUGUUUAAAGGGCUACUAAGCCGUUUAGCUUAUGAAAUGAGUUUGGUAGUUUAGCCAUUGAUACCGAUCAAGCUAAUUAAUUGAGCACAUAUAAUUUAUUUAUACUAUACCUGCUACUUAUUUUCCUCAGGGAAAAAAAUCAUGCUCCUUUCUACGAAAUUGUUUUCAUAGAAAUUUGUUAUACAGGUUGAAACAUCAAGAGCUGUGUUAUCAGUCACUUCAAGAAAAACACGGACAACAGUUAAUUUUGUCUCUGUUACAGUACUCACAAAAAUGUAAUUAAAACUCCAAAGAAGAACCAGGUGGAAUAUACUCUACUAAUUUUUUCAAAAGAAACUAAAGGAAAAAAUUUGGUCAUCAUUUAUAUAUAUAUAUAAAAAAAAACCUUCUGGGAGUUGAUAGACAAAAGAACAUUCCACCAGCUCAUUUCCUACGGAACAGAAGUAAAUAAAGAACUUAUCUAGAUUGUCCGCAUUUAUAUGUUCCUUUUGCUUUAGAAUAUGUAGUACAUUUAACCGCGUGCUUUUGCACCCAGUAUUCUAAAUUCCUUUUCUUUUCAUAGGUGAAUAAAAUUGAAUAGAAUAGAUCAAUUUUGUCAAAAAAAAGAAAAGUAGUUCAACAUUAGGUUCUCAUUUCAACUUUAUGAUAAAAUUGCAUAUGUUCUCAUUUUUCAACUUAUGAUACAAUUGCUAUCAUAGCUUUUCCUUUUAGAUCUAGGUGAAAACAUCGACAAUGAUGACAUGAAACUCAAAAGAACGUAGUUUGAACUUUGAAGUCAUAAAUUAACCACUCUUCAUCCAUAAUUUUAGAGGAAAGGAGCCCAUGUUUGUACGUCCCUGUUAAAACCAUGUAGUAAAUUAUUUGUUUGGAUAGUGUAUUAUUUGAAAUAUUAUUUGAAAUAAUUACUAUAGCACUUUUUUGUGAUGUGAUGUAUGUGAAAUAAAAAGGUGACUGUUAAAACCAUGUAGUAAAUUAUUUGUUUGGAUAGUGUAUUAUUUGAAAUAUUAUUUGAAAUAAUUACUGUAGCACUUUUUUGUGAUGUGAUGUAUGUGAAAUAAAAAGGUGAUUGGGAAUAUAAAAAAGUGGGUUGGAAAAUGUGUCUAUGAUGCAAACGAAAUAUUAUAUGAGAUAAUUGGGGUAUCCAAACAAACUUAUUAAUAUUUUUUCUAUGAAAUAAGCCACGUUGUGAUGGUCGUCUUGGCAAAAAGAUUGAUUAAAAUGGAAGUGGAAAAAAACGACCCACUCUUUUAACUACAAUCGAAGUCAUACUUUGGGUAAACGUUGAGACUGCUGGAGGAAAUGAUUGAUGGAAUCUGUAGAUGAAAACACAGAUCAUUUUAAUGUUUUAGACACAUGCCCGAUUAAAAGGCCAGCAUUCAUGUGGAAAAAAAAUACGCUCACGGAAGAAGCUAAAUAAUGAUUCCACAAAUUGAACACUAGGAGUCUAAUCUCAUCAUUACUUCAAUAAUCCAAAUUGACUCUCAAUAUGGAGAAUUUAAAACACGGAAGGUUCGAGUGUUCGCUGCUACCUGAACUAGAGGCAAAGUUGAUGAAGUUCCUGCUCUGCUGCAUUUCACUUGCAAAAAAUCCAAGUCGGCUGACUUGCCCUAAUUCUUGUGAGCUCUUUUCUCUCAAUUUUUUUGAGGCUGUUGGAGUUAAUCACAUAUUUGCCUGUGUUAUAAUCCCUAUAAUUAGACAAUCCAAUCUGGCAUUCCAAUUACACCCGUCCGGCCUUGCAAAAUACAUAACAUGUGGUGGCGCCAAUGGAUAAUUCCUACAUUGAAACUGAUAAAUUGUUUGAGGAAUAAAUUAGUGAAAAAAAGUCAUGUAGAACUGUAGACACCAAAUUUAUUUAAAAAAUUUUGUUAAUUUUUAUUAUGUCUUUAGCAUUGUUUAGAUAAUCAUUUUAUUUUAUUUUGUAGGAUCAAAGAAAAGAAAAAUGGAAUUUUCAUAUUGGAAAAAUAGUAGAGGUUUCCUUUGUUUUUAACCCAAUAAAAAAUUCCACUCAAAACCCAACCAAAAAUCCCCAAAAUCCGAAUAAAACCCAUGCCAAAAACACCAAAAAACCCAAGCCAAAACCCAAAAAUCCAAGUCAAAAUUCCCAAGAGCCUAGGGCCAAACCCAACCAAAAGCCUAGAAAGAAAAGAAAUAAGAAGAGGCCCAAUUGGCCCAUUUCUAAUUUCUUUUUUUUUUUUAAAAAAAGUUUCAGCCUCACACCCCGCGUGCGAUACACGCACACAUUUCUUCUUCUUCCAUUUGCAACGAACCAGCAACAAUAAGAAAUAGCUGGAUUUUUUUUUAGCAACCAAAAUUUGUUUUUGCUUCCUGUUUUCCUUCCCCUCCAAGAUUAAUUCGUACCGUGGACACCUUACCACUCAAAAAUCUCAAACAGCAGCUGUCAAAAAUCAAUCAAAGGGAUGUGAUAUAACCCACAAAAACUUGGCUUCAUCCAAGCCUUUGUUCUUAGGGUUUUACUCGGUUUUGUUUCAUUUAAAAGGCUAAGAGAGGGUCUUUAGGAUCAAAGGAGAAAGUGAGGAAAGUCAGCUAGGCAUGAGAGAGAGAGAAAAAGAGAAAAAAGGAAGAAAAGAAAUUUUUUCUGGAAACAAAAAAACUGAGCUAGGGCUGACCGAACAGCCCUAUUCGUCACCUUAUUCCAGCCAAUUUUGACGUCCUUUUGAUGAAAUUAUUUUUUCUGCACUAUCUAUAGUUGUAGGAGAAGAGCUUUUGUUUUGAAAAUUUCCUGAAAAAUCAUCAUUAAACCCCUCAAAUUCAAGCUCGAAAUUGCAGCUUCGUCAGCACAUGGACCUCUGCAACAAGAACUUGUUUGAUUUGUUUUCCGCAUUUGGCAGCAUUUUUCUUGAGUUUCUCCUCGUUGGUUCGAGUCCUCAAACAUGGUUAGGUAAUUACAACCCUUUCUCUUGGUUGAUUUAACAUUUUUCAUGAGAUUUUAAGCAAUUACAUGAGUUUUAAUAGGUUUUGCACCUUAUAUUUCAUUUUUCUCUUGAUUUGUGGUGUUUAAUGGUAUUGUUUGAUGUUUAAAUUAACUCAUGAGGCUGUAAGGAGCAUAUUUAUAUCAAAAUCUAUCCUUAAAUGCCCUUAAAAAUGGAUUCCGACAAGAUUCUGGCGGGGUUUUCAUCCUCCUCCUUCUAUUUUUUCUCAUUUUUUGCUUUAUUUUGUUGUGGUUUGAUCUUCCAAAGUUAGUUGGGCUGAAGUUAUUGUGUUUGUGGACUAAAAAUUGGAUCAAAAUUUUAUUUUGUGUUGGGUUUCAUGUUGGGUUUGUGCAUGGGUUUUGAUGUGCAAACUCAACAUUUUUAUUAGGUUUAGUUUAGUAAAAAUAAGUUGAGCUGAUCUGUUUUAUUCUAACAAAAUAAUUCGCUUAUUUUCCCUUGGCAGAAGCGUGAUGGCCCAAAUAUAUGGAAAUGGCCCAAAUGUCAUUUUUCCUUGUGAAAUCAGAAACGAAUUUUGCAAUCUGGCCCCUGAUCUUUCAAGUAAUAUUACUGUAGCACUAAAAUUUUGUAUUUCUUUCACUUAGAUAAUUAAUUUAAUUAUAUUUUAAUCUCUAAACUUUAUUUUUACUUGAUUUUGACCCUAAUCUUUUUAAAAAUUAUAAUCUGAUCCUAAAAAUUUUUAAUUUUUUGCAAUUGAGUCCCUAAUGGUUUUGAUUUCUUAAUUACAAUUGUUCAUCUUUUUUAAUUGUUAAUCAUGCUUCAUUUAAAUGCAUUUAAUUAGUAAAUUUUAGGAAUUUUAUGUUUAUUCAUAUAUUUUUUUAAAAAUAAUAAAGUGAAUUUGCCAUAUGUUUACAUUUUCUUUUAAAUUGUUAAUUAAAUUGGUGCUUUGACCAUUUUGUUGGUUUUGAGUAUAAAUAGAACAAACUCUACCUCAUUUAACCAUUGUUUUAAGGGAGGCGCCCUCUAUUAUCUUUAAGUUCUUUUUAUGUGCCGUUAUGUGUUUUUAUUUAUGUGUGAUUGCAUGUUUUAAAUGCCUUUUCUUUUCUUUUAUUCAUUUUUUAGCUUUCAUUUAUUUUAUUUAAUUUUUGAUGAUUAUUUGGGAGGCAUUUGAAUGCUAAAUUGUAAUAGAUAGGUUUCAUCCUUUUGUCCAAGAAAAUGUAUUUAGAUAGGCUAUGUAAUAGAUAUAUUUUAAUUUUGCUAAAAAUGUAAUUAAUUAGAUAAACGUAAUAGAUAGGUGGAUUAUUUUCAAAAUCUCCCUUUGAGAUUGUAGUUAGGACUCUCAAAUGUAAUAGUUAGGUUUUGUUUGCUAGCAUACUUGUGUGUUUGUGUGCUUAUGUAUUUUUUCACUUUUUUAGGGUUUUGUAUAUAGAUCUUAUGCUUACGUGUUAUGUGCUCUAUAUGCUUUUAUGUGUUAUUUGCUUUAUUCAUGCUUUAUAUACUUUAUUUAUUUAUUUAUAAUGAGUGCAUGACGUCACCACACUAGUCCAACUCUAGUUGUGAUUUUUCUUCCAAUUUCUCACUAGUCCAACGUUAGUGAGAAAUUAUAGAAAUAGGUUAGUCUAAUGCUAGACCCUUUAGGCCAUUCGCGUGCUAGAUUCAUAAUUUGUAUGAUGUUUAUUGCAUUUCAUACAUUUUUUUCCAUUUUUAGGUUAUUUCCAUUUGCAUGGAAUAUCCUCUAUAUUAAUCCCUUUAUUCUUAUAUGUGCAAAUCAUACCAUUUAGACUUGCAUUUCAUUUAGAUCAUUUAGUUCAUUUACUUGAUUGGAUUAGGAGAGUCACCCUCCGAAUAUGGAGAAUGAACAAGUAUGACUUUUUAACCUUAGCACGCUUUUGUCCCCCUCUAUAAGAAGGAAAAUUGUGUCACCAAUUUUAACUCCUCGCACCCAUUAUAUUGCAUACCUCCCUUCUUGGAUAUAUAUAUCAUAAUUUUCUUUUUUCGAGUCUCAUAUUUUGCAUUUCUUGUGACCUCUUCAAAGAAUCGUUCUUGAAUUUCACAAUUAAUGUGAUUAGUACUAAUUAAGUUUUGAAGAGAUAUUUCAUCCCUCCCGAUAACCCCUUGGUCUAGGUUUGCAUUCAUAUAGAAGUAUUCGGAUGUGAUAAGUUUAGAGGCUAGAUUAGGAAAAUUUUUGACUAAAUCACGCAACUAACCUUGGUUAGGUUGAAAGGGUGCUUUAGAUUUGAUUCGAUCAAAUUUUUGCCUUCCCUUUUUUCAAAUGUGACUCCCAAAUCAUUUUCUCUUGUUUUCGAAGACUUUGAGUCAUCUAAAAGGGUUUUAUUUAUUUUUAUUUUUUAGAAAAAAUAUAUUUUAGGUGAAUUGGUACAUCUAAAUUCAAUACCAAAUGGCGAUUCUCUUUUUCUAAAAUAUCCUUUUUAGACUAUUAUUUUGGGCCCAAACUGUCGCAUUUUCUAAGUCCCAUUUAAGGCCUUUUUUUCUUCAUUUUCUAAAAUAAAAAAACUUAUUAUUUUAAAUUUAUUUAAAAAAUGGGGCGUGACAAGAACAAAAUUGAUUUUAGUAAUAAAGUUCAGGGACCAAUUUGGCAAAUUAUCCUAAUUUCAAUGCUUGCUUUGUGAUCUACUUGCAAUCUAAUGCUAAUUAAGUUUAGCUCCUAUCCAAAAUUAACUUUGGUUGGUUACAUAAGGCUUCCUCAUGAUUUUGGAUUAAUCAAAGUGCAUUUUGAGUGAAUAGUGGCUAAUUCUUUUUUUUUUUCAGGAAGAGAUCAUUUUAUGCAUAUCACUUAUUAGUCUUUUCAAAUAUAUCUUUUCUCGGCAUAUAAUGAAUGAUACCUUUAACAAGAACUUAAUAGUAAGUUUUACAAACUUAUACGCUGCUUCUCACAAGUUGCCACUCUAACGUAUCUAAAAGAAAGUCUUUCACAUGUAUACUAUAAAUUGCUAUAAAUGACAAAUUCUUUUUACUUGGUACUAGUGACUAGGGAUCUUGUAAAUUUCUAUGACCAAUGCACAUUAUCUCAUUUUUUGUGCGAAGUUAAUUAUUUUUAUUUUUGUGAAUAGCGGUAUUAGCAUUCUGAAUUUUUAUGACUUUUCAACAUUUUGGAGAAGAACAUUCCAACUAGUAAAAGAACCGCUCAUUUGUUGGUUCCCAUUGUUUUAUUUUAUCAUAAUUUUUUGGGUAUUCGAGCAUAUUUUAUCCAAUUAGCAUAUUUUUUCAAAUAAGCAUUUAACAUGUAAUCUAUUAGUUUGAAUAGGAGGAGAGAUGGGUGAGUGGAACAGGGGGACAGAAUGUAAGUGAGCAGUCCUGAGUUCGAAAUCUUUGAAUAGAUCUUGAUCAAAGUGGAUUUGAGAUCUGGAGAUGAAAUUAACUUAUUUGGAACAACAGAAAUGAGUCAUGAGGGAAAUUGUCUAUUUCAAAAUGUUAUGAUUUUUCAUUAUUUUGUAUUUUUUCUUAUUUUAUAGAUUGUUUUGAGUUUCUUCUUCAUCAAAUUUUUUUUGUUUGUGUUAUAUAUUUUUGCAUUAAUCAACUAAUUGACUACUUGUUGCACAGAGCCAAUGAUGCAAAUAUAAAAUGUUAUCCAAAACUUAUGGGGGUAUAUUUCAAAUAACUUACCUUGUGAUAUGAUGAUCCUAUUACUCUAUUAAAAGUAAGAUGAGUCUUGGUAUUGUAAGUUGUAUGCACUUUUUGAACUUAUUUUUUGUUGUGCCAUAUUACCCAUCUUUCAAUUAGAGUUAUUGCAUUUUAAUUGUAGUUGUAAUUGAAAAUAUGAAACCAUCCACAUGAUUAAAUCCCAAUAAUAAUGGCACUUAAAAUAAAAAACUCCAGAUUAAAACUAUUUAGCGACCCUUAUGCUCCAUCCUCAAUGCUUAUGUGCAUCAAAGUUUCUUAUCUGAAGCAAUUUCUUACUUGAAAUAGUGUGAUCAAUUGUGUUAGCCACAAUUUUAAGAUUGUAAAAAAAUUUUAGUAUAAAAAAAUAGAUGCUCUUAGAAGAAAAGAAAAAUAUAUAAGAAGAAAGUAGUUCAUAUUCAUCUGGAGAAUCUUGGUAUGAAUAUUACAAGAUAGAUGUAUAAUUAUGCAUUUUUUAUCAGUAUGAAGAAAUACUAAAAGAAAAGUAAAAAUAAAAGAAUCUAACCAUUUUUAUCAAUUGAAUGCCAAUUGACAACUAAAUAAGCCCAUCGAAGAUAAUUAAACAAUAUAAAUCAUUUAUAUUCUUUCCUAACCUCAAUAACACUUUGUUUCUGGUCUUAGUUACAGAAGUAUUCCAUUAGCAUUUACUUUGGAUUGAAAUUCAUAUUUGUACCAUGAAACAUGAGGUUUUUAGAAUAUUAAUAUCGUUUUUUGGUCCGAUGGAUAAUAGGUGAAUUGUACUGCCAUUUACGUUGCCUGUCGGUUGCUAUCUUAUUGGCCCACUGAUGCUUGAUGUUCCAAAUUUCCAAUUGGUUUCGGGGGAGGAAUCUAUAUAUAGCUUUAAGGUGAAUAGUUAAGUUCCAGCAUUUGAAGUCUCUUUUGGGUUGAUGUAUAAAAACUAAUAUUGUUGUUACUAUUAAGUUUAGAAUUGAUUAAAUGGUGCAAAUUAAUUGAUUUUUGCGUGCUUUUCAUGUCUGUUUUUUCUUAUGAUGAGUGCUAAUUGAAUCUUGGCUCUGCUUGCUUUGAUCAAAUAUAAUAUAGAGUUGUCAGUCCAAAUUCACUUUUGUGUUACAUUGCACUUAUUUUAUUAUGCUAAGUACUUACACAUAACUUGCAGUAAUUUUUAACUGAAUGUUGGAUAAUACGAAUGUGAGAUGAUUUUAAAAUGAAUUGGUUAUGUGCUUUGUGUAUCAUUUAUUUUCUUGAGAAGACUACAUAUCAAUCCAGAUUCAUGGUUAAACUUUUGCUUUCCCAUUACUAAUACCACUUCAAAUUAAUAACAAUAAUGACGUUUAAGUGCUGAUAUUACAAUUUUGAAGUUUUGGAGUUGUACCAAUGUUUGUUUAUUCAAUUUGUCCCUUUUUUUCUUGUAAAAAUUAGUGAAUAAUGCAAACUGAAAAUUAUUUCUGAAGAACAAAGUACAAAGCACCUCCUUCCCAAAAACCACCAUCUUGAGACCAUGUUUGCAUAAAGUCUAACGCUUGCCUAUAUGCUUGUCAUUUUUGGAGUUUUUGUUCUGAUUGUUCUGUUUCUGAAGAACAUGUCACAUGAUGAUGUUGGAGUUUUCAUUUAGCUUGCGAUUGGCUGUUUGAUAUCCUACUUUGAUGUAAGUUGCAUUCCAAAAUCCUCUUACUUGACUCCUGAGACCUGCUCUCCCCAAACCUGCGGCUUUUCUGUAUUAAGUGUGCAUAUUCUUGCCCAAAUCAAUAUGAUUGAAAUCAGUUCAAUUUGUCAAGUGUCUAGAUACCUUGCCUUUCAUGAAGACUAUUAGUCUAGAUAGAUUCUUACUAGAAGUCCUUUGAAUUGAUAAUGUGUACAUGACUACCAUGACAUCAUUAUAUGUUUUGCACGCUUGUGGCAAAAACAUGCAUUAGUUAUUCACAAAUAUUUAGAAUACCUUGAACACCAAUCUGCUUGAGCACUGUAAGCUAGUAUACUGGUUUUCUACUAAUUAUUGAACCUAGAAAAACAUAAAUGGAAACUUGAUUUGGUAGGACAAUAGAUAGAAGAUGAGAACAUCCAUGUAUAUGAAAUAUGUGCCAUUGAACAUCAAACGAAUUUUUGAAGUGGCAAAAAGCACAAGCUAUCCUUUGCUUGUUUAAUUGGGGUCAGGGUCACUGUCGAAGUCUUUAUCUCUAAGUCCCAAUUUUGUCAGUGAUUGGCUUCUUAUGAUCAGCUAUUGCAAAACUUGAGAUCUCAUUAAAAAAACUGAUAUUGCAUGAGUUAUUUGAUUUAGGAACUAAUGCAUCUGAGCUUAAUUAUUGUCAUUUGUUUAUAAUUAGGCCUUCUAUUCACCCCUUUUGCUAUAUUGUUCAGUUUGGCUAAUUUUAGUGAGAAAUUUUGGGCUUACUAGUUUGUUGCAUGUUUUUUGAUUUUAUUCAGUAGAUAAUUUCAUCUAUGGAACAUUUCUUAGUGAUCAUGCUCAACAGUAUGACUACUAUCCCUUGCAGAUUGUCAAAAAUGAUCAGGAAUAAGUUAUUUGACAAAUGUAUUCAUUUCAUGAUAUUCAUUCCUAAGAAAAUUCACUCCUUGCUAACAUUAAAGCUAGAAGUUAGCAUAAGUUCUUCAUUUGACAUACGUAUGGAUUUUUCUGGUGCAUAUUGCCUUUCAUUUUUAGUUCUAUAAUGCAGUGGCUGUUGAAUCUGUUCUUAAGAACAUAACAUUGUGAUAUUUUUCUGGUUCAUAUUUGCCUCAGAUAUGGCAUCUGAAGCAACAUCUCGGUCAAAAGGGAAAGGCAAAGGGUAUUUCACUUGGACUCCUAAAAUGGAUUGCAUAAGGGGCACCUGUUUUAUUGACCAAAUGAACCAAGGAAACAAAUUGGAUGGCAAAUGUGCAUGGAAGAUAGGAGCCUACACUGCAAUAUUGAACGCUUUAUCCGAUAAGCUUAAUAUAUCUGUGACAAAGGCUAAUAUUAAUCUCGUUUCAAGACAUGGGAGAAACACUAUGACAUCCUAUACCCUCCAGUAAUGUAACUUUGGGUUUGAGAUAAUAUGGGACUACUCUAGAGACGGAAUGCUCGAGUAAGUGAGAAUCAAAAAAUUCUUCCUUAUAAAAAAAAAUUGUGGUUGAAAAUUGGGAGGAUAUCUGCACACUAUUUUCACAAAAUCGUGCAAAUGGACAGGGUGCCCAAACUACUUUUGAGGCCAAUGCUGAAAUUGAGGUUGAAACGUCUACUAAUGUAGAGAAAUCAUAUGAGACUGGUUCACGAUCUUUGGAAGAUGAAGUAAUGAAUGCAUUGCUAACUCAACAAUCGUCAAAAUCAAAAGUUUCAUCUUCAACAAAUGAUUGUGGCACAAAAAGGAAACUAACAAGCUUUCAAGCACUUUACAAGGUGUUGAGACGAAUGACAGAUUCACUGGAUAAGUAUUUAAAUUCAGAAUGCUAAAAAGUUACAACUAAAAUGGUGGAAGACCGGAUAAGUAUUUAAAUUCAGAAUGCUCAAAAGUUACAACUAAAAUGGCAGAAGACGAGUUAUCUAAAAUUGAAUUGGAUAGAUUUGAAUUGUUGAAGGGUAUUGAUUUACUUAUGAAUGACAAGACAAAGUAUGACACUUUUUUUGGUCUCUGAGAUGACUUAAAAAAGGAUUUGCUGCUGAUGCACAUUGGUAAUUGAUUUUUUUUGGUAACCUCUAGUUGAAGUUGUUUCUGUAGAAGUGGGAGAAGAAGUUGAGCUGAUUGUUGGAAGCCCAAGUAGAGAAAGUAGAAGCUGUUACCACUUAAUCGUGUAUCCAUGACUUUUUAAAUUCUGAUGAGUUCUUUGUUUUUAUAUAAUGGUUCAAAACAAGAUUAUAGAAAGAUUCUGGGGAGUAUUUUAGCUAUUUUCCGUCUAAUUUUUGAGAUGAUAAGAAUGGGAUAUUGGAUCUUUUGUUUGAUGAACUUGCAUUUUAGGUAUUGAGAUUAACAUAGCUGCCUAUGUUGAUGAGCUGACUUGUCCCUGUGCUGCAUGAACCUUUGCAUUCUUCUCAAAGUUAAGGAGUUUUUGCUCUCUUUUUUAUGUAUAAGUGCUCUUCCUGUAUUCUAUUGGUUUUUAUCUCCCACAAGUCUACACACUCACCAAAGAAUAGAUGGCAGAUUUUUUAUUGAGUUUAUCUCUCUAGAUUGCUGAAAUGUGUGGAAAAAUAUGGUAAUUGGUUCCAUGGUUAACAGUGCCAUUGAUUCUAUUGAAGGAUACUCCUCCAAGGCCACAUUGUUUGCCCUCGUAAUAAGAUUCGGAAUAAGAUGUAGCAUCCCCAAAUCUGCACUAUUUGAACCUGAAAACAAAUUUGAGAAGUAGCUGAUGGUUGCGUUUGCAAUUCCCUCAUCGUCCUCUACCCAGUCCCCAUUCAUGUUCCAUAUGCGAUGAAUCGCCCCUUGCACCCUCCGCUGCUGUACCGUUGCAUAAAAGUACCUUGAGUUGGUGUCCCCGUGCUGUAGCCACUUCACACGAGCCUUUUGGCUCCAAAACUGCUCCUCAAUUGAGAGAGCGUGCCGCAGUUCUGCCCGAGCCUUGUUCAGCUCUAACUGAGCCUUCUCUGAUGCAUUAGUCUCUGCUCCUAUCUCCGCACAGAGGACACUUUCGUCCGCCCUACGUACAGCCUCAAAUGUGACGCCCCCACUUCUCCCUAAGGCGAACCAAAGGGUAUCCACGGGACGCCUGCCCAACUCUCGCCAGGACUCAAGCAAUUUUCAUCCAAACUUAAUACAAUACUAGACGUUACGAUUAAAUAUCAUAAAUACAAUCAGUGUGUAAGCAUUCAAACUUAUCAAUAUUCAACAUUUGCCCAAUCAUUACAUCGGGACCUCGAAAUAUAUCAAUAUUCAAAAUAUACAUCAAUCACAAGUCUAGCCCCAAAGUGCAACGGAAACCCUAAAACAAAAGUAUGCCAAGGGGGGUUUCUCCAACAUUUCUCCAAGUCCAAUCCUGUUAAGGAAAAUAAAUUUACAGGGUGAGCAAAACGCUCGUGAGGCCAAGAACACACAUGCAAGCACGUUGUUCAGGUAACAAGCCCAAAUAACAGUUCAAGUGAUAAAUUACAAGUAAUUCAUAAAGCCAACGAAAUGUAAACAGAAACAAUUCAAGGAUAUGAUAGCUCUCAGGAGCUAAGUUCCACUUGCUUUGCCAGUUCAUUCGUAUAUCUUCCCGUGAUGACUCUCCGUCAACCGGGUUGAUAUUUCCAAACCGUAGAUCACCACUUACUUCUCAUCCGUCCACCCUACACCGCUUCGGACCCGCACAACAUUUAUAAGGCUAUACUCUACGAGUAUGCCAAGCAAGAUCUCUCAAAUAGAUCAAACUUAUCAUGUGAUUCUCAUGGCUCACCAAGGUUCCCGACCAAACCCAUGCCGGCUCGAGUUCCAAGGUCGGCCUAUGAGUUUGGGCGUCCCCCAUGUAUCAUGUAAGUGUCGAGGAGAUUCACUCCAACGACGUAUGCAGCCAUAGCAUACCAUGUCAUGUAAUAAAGCAUUCGACAAGUUUAAUUAUGUAUUUCAGGUCAUGUAAACCAGGCAAAAUAUGUUAAGCAUGAGUCAUUUGUUUCAAAUGAGAAUGAGUGUGAUAAAGUACACACUCGACUCCAUUUUCAAAACCAAGUAGGCUAAGCAUGUAAUCAGGUAAGCCAAGCAGGAAUCAAGUCUAGAGAGUACAAGUAUUCAUACACUUGACACUCACCAAGUAUUAAGUGCAAGUAGGGUCAAGGAAAGUUCAAGCGUCCACUGUGGGAUCCUCUUGAAGGUCCUCGUGUGUGCCUGAGCAAUUAAUAGUGAAUUAUUAUUCACACAACCCAAUUAUCGAGAAAUAAUUCGUGCACUAUAAUAAUCUAGGGAAUUUCGUGAAAAGGAAAAUCGAGGUUCGAGUGGCGUUUUAUAAAGUACAGGAGCAUUUGGGUUUUUAUCUUGGAAAUCGAAGUUAAAACGUUUGCAUAAUGUCGAAAGAAUAAAGAGUUCUUGGAAACUCUAUUUCCUUGAAAGUUGGAAAAUUUCAGUUUUGAUAUGGAUCUUUGAAAAAUCGUAUCUCACUCGAUACAAGUCUAAAAUUGGAAAACUUUAUACCGUUGGAAGCCUCUUGGAAAGUACUAAAAGUUCUUAGAAGACACUUUUCCACGAAUCUAAGUGAAAAGUACUAAAAAAUGAGCUUGAAUUCACUGUUCCAGAAUGUUCAGGAUUGACUUGGGGUUGGUUUUUCGCUAACUUUGGAAAUUCGGCAGAAUUCACUCGUUGCAAACCAGCCUUUGAAAUUUAUAACUCAAUUAGAGGUGCAAGUAAUAUUUAGGACAGAACAAGCAUAUAGAGAAUCGGAGUUUCGAGCACCGAGAUACGGUAGCUCAAAUUUGGGGAAAAUUCGAGACUGUUGAACAAAUUCCAGAUUUGGAUUUCUAACUUUGGAUCUUUAGUUAAGUGUCGAAACGGACUUGGAUUGGUGCCAAAUUUUGUAGUAUAGUACUCCUAUAUGAAAGAUAUCUCUCUAUCAAAUUUCGUGGAAAAAUACCUUCGGGAAGGUGGUUAACCAAUCAACCAAAGUUUUGAAAUUACUAAGGCAAAACUGCCUUUAGCUCCAUUUCUCUCCGUUUCCAAACAUUCGGCUAAGGAAAACCUCCAAACAUGGUUCAUCUGUGCAAGAAAAGUCUAAGGAACAUACAUGGUACAUUUGGUAGGUGUUUAGCACCAAGAAAUUCAUUUAGUAAGACCACAACAAGUCUCACAUCAAAUCUGUCCAAAUCCAAGGGUUUUCAAGAAAAAGGCAGUCACCGUAUUUUGAUCAUGACUCACUCAAUUUAACUUGGAAUUGAGUAUGGUUGAUAGUGUUGGAAAAUACAUUCAUAGGGCUAUAAUUUCACAGAAGAAAUCGUUUUAAAAUUCAGUACACAACUAGCUCGAAAUCGAGUUUCAAAUCACAGCUUCUGUAUUUCAUUCCAGCAGAACAGAGAAACAGAACAGCUGAGUUCAAAAGAGUGGUACGGCUCACACACAUGGAACCAGAACAUGCAUUUUAUACCGUUGGAAAGGUGGGAAUGUCUAGUUUCAAAUUCCGCUGACAGCACUUGAUUUCGACGUCGGAGCACGGAGUUAUGGACGAAAUACGAACAUUGGUCUGAGCAUUACGGGAACAGUUUCCAGAUUACUAGCUUUGGGAAAUAAAUUCAUUUGACCAACCAAAACUCAGUAUUUUUCAAUGAACAUUUCUAUACAACUACUACAACAUGUAAAAAACAUAAUCAAGCCAUUAAAUCCUCAAAUUUUUGCAUUAAAGUGGCCGAACAAAGCAGGGGCAAAAUGGUCAGAUUUGGCCUUUGCACCCAUCAUGAGUUUCCAUCAAUUUUCCACCAAUAAUCCACUAGUUUAAGCACUAAUCCAACAUUAUAAACAUCAUCAAGCAUGAAAUCAGCCUCCAAGACAAGGGUGGGAGUUCAUAGAGCCCACCUUCAAAAUUUUCCAAUAAUACAAGCCACCCACAUGAAUAUUCAAGCUCAUAAGUGUAAAUUAACUUCCAUAGGACAAGAAUUUGAGAGUGGAUCAUUACCUACUUUGGUUGAUGAACCUAGCAGAAUUUUGGCCCUUUUCUCAGCUCAGAAAAACCAUGGAAAGCUCCUCUUUUUUGUAGCUAAAUGGACUCUCCAAAUGUUAAGCUAAGUAGAGUUAAAAUUUGAGAGGAUUUGGUAAUGAUUUGGUGCAAGAAUUUGGAGUAGAAUGUUGAAGAACUUUGGAUGGUUUUUGUUCCUCCUUGUAGCCGGCUGCCUUUGUGAGAAAGAGAGGAGUGUUUGGUCUGAUUUUUAGCUUGCUAAGAAAGCUUGAAGACUAAGAGUUUAGGUGCACAAAAGUCAACCGUAAAUAGUGCGCGUACGCGCGCGUUUUGUGCUCGAUUCCUCUUAAGUUUGUUGCACUAGUGCACUAAACCUCUAAUGUACUUACAUUCAUAUUAAUAUUAUUCACUCUUAAUUACCCUAAAAUAAGGGUCUAAAGUCCCUUAAUUAAAUCGCACGCGUGAAAACGCGUAUCUCCAAUUUAAGCGCGAAAGAGUGAAACCUCCCAAAAAUUCUUAUAACGAUCGUACCAUUAACUAUCACUUGAGUACUUAAACCUAAAAUUACCUAUUUUAGGACCAUUGUACAUGUUUCAAAUUUUCCGAGCUUAUUGUACUCUAAAUUGGCUAAAAUUUUUAAACACGUUUCACAAUUUUCAUUAUUCGAGCUUCAAAAAUUAAUUUUUGAAAUUAGUCACUUUAAAAAUAUAAGUAAGUCAUAGAUCAAUGUAAUUAGAUCUCAAGAGGUUAGAAAAUAAUAUUCGGAGCAAACAGGCAAUUAAAUAUUUGAAUAAGUUCGGAAUAGUAAUUUAAAAUAAUAAAUUUUUGUGAGUCUUCACAGGAGUCUAGUAUUAAUUUCUCAAUUAACCUUUCUUAAUCUACUAUUGAUCAUUCUUAAUUCUCCAAUGUUGAUGUCGGGCCCCUUUUUUAAUAAAGAAAAUAAAUGGUUUAAAAAGUGAAUUUUUGAUUUGAAAAAUGAAUUUUGAUUUACAAAGAAAAUGAAGAAAAAUAUGGGUCUAAAUGGGACUUGAAAAUGCGACGAUUCGACCCAAAAUAAUAGUUUAAAAGGGUUUUGAAUAAAAAUUGGAGUCGCCACUUGGUAUUGAGUUAAGGUGUACCAAGUCACCUAAAAAAUAAAUUUUUGAGUAAAAUUAUAGAAAACCCUUUUAAAUGACUCCUAAGUCUACAAAAAUCAGAGAAAGUGUUUGUGAGUCACAUUUGAGGAGAGGGAAGGCAAGGACGAGGUCCAAGGCACCCUCUCAACCUAGCUAAGGCUAGUUGCGCGAUUUAGUCAAAGAUUUUUUUAUUUUAACCUAAAGAUUUACCACAUUUGGAUGUACUAUAUGAAUGCAAACCCUAGACUUAGGGGAAUAUCGGGGCAAAAUUUCCCUUCAAAAGAUCGAAUGGUGCCAAUCACAUUAAUUGUGAUGCCCAACGUGGACUCUUCGAAGAAGUCACGAAUAAUGCAGAAGUAUGAGACUCUAAGAAAAGAAAUAAAAUAAUUAUACAAAUAUACAUGUCUUUAAAGGAGUGCAUCAUGUCGGGUACGAGGGACUAAUGUUCGUGACUCAAUUUUGCCUUUAAUAGAGGGAAUACGAGCGUGCUAAGGCUAGAAAGCCAAACUCGUCAGUAUCCCAUAUCCAAGGGGCUAUCUCUAGUCUAAUCAGGCAAAAUGCACUAAUCUACCCCCUAAUUUCCUAAAUGAGAUGCAAAUCUAAAUGUUAUAUAUACAUAGGGGUAAGAGAUAUUUUAUUAGGGGAAAUAUUAUGUGAAAAAGAUAAAGAUCCUAAAAAAAAUGAAAAAAAUAUGCAUGAAGUGUAAUGUAAUCAUACAAACAUGAUCUAACGAGGGAGGUCCCUAAGGGUCUAGCAUUGGACUAACCCAUGUCUAUGAAUUCUCACUAGCAUUGGACUAGUGGGAAAUCGGAACAAAGAGCCACAACUAGCGUUUGACUAGUGUGGUGACGGGAAAGGGAUCACAGCUAGCAUUGGACUAGUGUGAUAACAUGCAUUUAUUACAGUCUAAGAAAAUCAUAUAAAGCAUAAUAGAGCAAAUAAACACAUAUAUCACAUAAGGCACAUAACACAUAGGCAUGAUAUCUAGAUGCACGUCCUAAGAAAGCGGUAACACAUAGCACAUAAUCAUGCAAAUCACGCACAGCAAAAAUAAAACAAAUAAAUCCCUAUCUAUUACAUUAGGGGGAGACCCUACUACAAUCUAAUGGGGGAAAUGAAAUAAAAUAAUUAAAAUAAAUACCUAACUAUUACAAAUUUGGCAUUCAAGUGCCUUUCGAAUGAUCAAAAUUGAACUAAAAUAAAUAUACAAAAUUAAACAAAUAAAUAAAACAAAUAAAUAUAAAAAAACAUUCAAAAGGCAUGCAAUUACACACGUAAAGUCACAUAGGGCAUGUAGAGUCAAAUAAAGUAAGACAAUAAGGGAUAGAGUAUACCUCCCUUGAGUUGGAGCCUUAAUGACACGAACUUACUUAUUUACCCUUCAAAAAAACAAAGAAAGGGGGUCAAGGCAUCACUUUAAUUAACAAAUAAUCACAAAGGUAAAAAUAAAUAUGAAAUUGAAUCAAUUAAAUCAUGUAGACAACCCACAUUUAAGAAGUCAAAAGGAGAAAGGACUUGAUUGCAAAAAAUAACAAAGUUUGGGGUCAAAAAAUUAAAGAAAAAUAAAGUUUAGGGACCUAUUUGCAAUUGAAUUAGGGACCUAAUUGAAAGUAUUGAAGGUUUGUAGGGCCAUAGUGAAAUUAAAGAAAGGUACAGGGACUGAUCUGCAAAUUCGUUUUCUGGUUUCUUAAUGGAUCAAGCCACUUGGCUAUUUUAUUUAUUUGUUUGGGCCAAAAACCAUCCUAGCCCAACCGAAACCAAGCAAAACAGACGGGCUAGCCUAUCUUAGGUCCAAGCAAAAUUCAACUAAAAACAUAUGGGUUUUAUCCCUCAACCCAUGUCAACAACCUAGAAAAAUAAGUUAUUCAUUUGUCAAACCUAAACAACAAUUCCAAACCAAACCUCAUUUUACUUUAUAAAAACCAAACAAGAUAAAACCCAACUAAAAGUUACUAACCUUUGAUUAUGCAUUAAACCACAGAAUUAAUCUAUCUAAAAAGUCACAUAAAAUAUGUAAAAAGUGGAUUAAACUUAAAAAGGCGAAAUAGGUUAGAUUUUUCCAAGCUUUGGGCCAUAGCAGAAUAAGGGGAAGCUUGAGGGGUUCAAAUGCAACAAAAGUAGGGACCUAAUUGAAGGACUUAUGAAGGUGUUGGAGGCAAAUUAUGACGUUCAGAAAGUCCGGGACCAAAUCACAAAACAAAAAGAAAAUGGAGGGACUAAAAUUGCAAUUUUGGACAAAUGAUCAUCUUCUUGAACGAGCUAAUAUCAGUUAGCAUUUCAGCUUUCUUUUCGAUUAGCAAUACCAGAAAUUUGGUUUCAAUUUUGACAAUUCCCCACAAACAAUGAAACUCACAACACUCCCUCUCAUAACAUCAAUUCGAAUUCAUACGACAGGAAGCAUAAGGAACAGAAAAAUGUAAGACACCACACAUCAAAAUUUCUCAAAUGCGAGGAAAUGAACUGGCCGACUAGGCCAGUUUCUUCAUGCGCAAAAAAGCAGACAAAUCGUCCUUCAACUAGAGUUUUCAGUUUAGGCAUUUCGUCGAACAGCAAAUGGGCAUUAAAAUUUCAUCGAAUUUUUUGCUCAAUUGGGGUUAAGAAGCACCCAAAAUUAUCAGAAAUCCCAAGAAAAUUCAACCCAAUCAACACAUAAAACAUGUACAAUUAGAAAAUUAUGGACCAUCAACAGGGAAAACGCAACAACAAAGUCACGGCAGACCCAUUUGAAAAACUUUCCAAAACUUAUGCUCGAAGAAAAACUGAAAUACAAAUGAAAGGGAUAACUUACGGUGAACUGCUAGCGGCGGUGCUCUUCUUGUAGCAGGACUGGAGGCAGUCGGGGGUGGCGAUGUCCUUGAGAUCGACGUCGAGGGUGCAGCGGGUGGGCAUGAUGUGGUUGUAAUUGACGAGCUUGAUAAAGCAGUUAACCUUGGACUUCUUGGCCUGCUUUUUGGCGUAGUCCUUCUAGAUCGCCUGAGAUGGGCAGAGUAAGCCUUGGCGAAGUCGUGAGGAGAGGCGUCUUUCACAGUCUUCGCAGUUGCCAUCGUCAAAUCUGUCUCUGUAGCAUCUCUGCCGAUGCAGCCGACGCCUCUCUUUUCCUCUCUCUUCUGUUGCUCCUCAGCCCUCAGCCGUUCUCCUUACCCCAGCCUCUUUUUUAGAUUUCCUCUGUUUUCAAUUCUACCGUAGCUCCUCUUCUUUUCCUUUUUCAUCCGCUUGGCCUUUUUCUUUUGCCCUGUGGCUCUCUUCAAAAUUUCCCAGCUCGGCCAUCCCUUUUUUCAGCCGUCACCAAAACUCUCUCAAACUCCCCCCUAUUUGUCCUUUUUUUUCCGAUGGUUUUCUCCUUGCUAAUCCCCUAUCCCCCCUCUUUUCUUAGCCGCCCCCUUUUUCUGUUUUGCUCAGCCCCAAAACCUCUCCCCCAUCGCUUGUUUCUUUCUUGUUUGCUCUAUUUUCUCAGGCCGACUACUCUCUAGUUCUCUCUCUCGCCUCCGUUUCUCUUAUUCUUUUCUUUCCUUUUUUUCCCAGACGAAACUCGCUCCUCUCUUCUCAACCUAGCCGCCAAUCCUUUCCUCUUCAAUCCGCCCCCUUUCCUUGUCCUCGUCUGUAUUUUGCAAUCAAAUCCUAUCCUACAAGUGUCUAGACAAAAAAUCAAAGGGACACUUGUCCCCAUGCUUACCCCCUCCACUUGUCAUUUUUUACUUUUCUUUUUUUUUUUCCUUUUUCUUUUUCUGAAAAUUAGUAUGAAAAUGCUUUUAAUCUCGAAUAAAAUAAAAUAAAAUAAGAGACCCAAAAACAAAAUAAAAUAAAAAUAAAAAUAAAAAUAAACUAAAAAAAACUAAAAAAAAAUAAAAAAAUGAACAAAUAAAGUUAACAAAAAAUUUGGUGUCUACAGUUGAUACACUCCUGAUUCAAGUAUAGCCUCGAAAUACGUGCACUCGUUGUUCCGAACUAAACGAAUUUUCGAAAAGUGAAUUUUCCAACAAAACGCUUUAAAAUAUAAAAGAGGCGUCGUUCCAUAUAAAUGGAUUUUUAAAUGGUCGAAAUAAAUAAUUCGGAGAAAAUGAGUAAUUAAAUAAUUAAGCAAACUUGUAAUAUUCGAUAAAUAAGAAAAUUUUUGGGUCCUCACAUCAAACACAUCCCCAAAGGAGUUCUUGUUCCAUGCUCGUAUCGCUCCUGCUUCCAUAUGUUUCGAAUCACUUCCAAGAGGGACUAUUUGGAGGUCCACACAUUUAAAAAUCGGAAGGGCCGUGGCUUGUCAUCCAGAUGAGACACAAAGGAAAUCUUUAAGGGAGCAUGAUCCGAGGGAUGCCUUGCUAGAUGAGUGACUGCAAUGGACGAUGUCAACGUGGAACAUUCCCCAUUAAUCAAUAGUCUAUCAAAUCUUUUCCAAAUCCUUGCUCUUCCCUUUUGAUUGUUACACCAUGUAAAGUUUGAGCCCGUAAAUCCCGCAUCAAAGACCGCAGCCUCCGCCAUAAAGGACAAUAGCUCUCUACCCUCAUUGGUGCCAAAAGGUCGCCCUCGUCUCUUCUCCUGGGGUUCCAUAAUCACAUUGAAGUCCCCGCAUACGCACCAAGAGAGCGAAUUAGGUUUAUCAGUGUGCAGCGCCUGCCACAGUGUUUGCCGUUCCUCCAUUGAGCAACUCGCAUGAACAAAUGAAACAACUAAUAGCCUGGGCAGCCAGGGGUGCUGGACUUGAAGGGAGAGAUGUUGGGAAGAUCGUCCUACCACGGAGCACACAAACGGCGAACUAUGGAAAACCCAUAUAUCGCCUGAUGCAUUAGCCUUGGCUGCGUCAAACGACAACCAUAGCUGAAUGGACUCAAUUUGGGAAAUUCCUGCCUUAGGUUCACAUUUUGCAACAAAUUUGACAUCAUGCAUUCGCAAUAGCUUAAUUAGCCUCCUGAUAUUGGGAGGUCUUGUAACCCUCCUAUCCCAUAUUGAGGUCUUAUAAUUGAGUUCUCAAUUCUGUUUCAAAAUGUGUUUGUACGGUUAUAUGAUGAUAUGGAUCUCUAUAUAAUGGUUUACAAAUUGCCAACUGAUCCAAAAUUUUCACCUUAAAAUAGAACCACGUAAAUUUAAACCGGACAUGAGUCUCAAGAUAAAGGAAUAGAUUGUAAAAUAGCUCAGUGCCAGAAUUGUCAUGGUAUCCCAUUAUCCCAUUUGCCUCUCAAAUUCUGUGCUACUUCUCAAGAAAUUUGAAAUGAUGUGAGUGUGUGUUUACUAUAGGUAUUUGAAUAAGUCCAAUUCGAAAGAUAAUUUUCCUUUGCUAAAUAUCACAAUUUGCUAGACAAUACACCUAGGCAUGAAAUUGAAUCCUUUGGCAACUAUUUUGUCGAGUAUCAUCAAAAUUUAAUGUUUGAGGAGGAUAGAAAGAAAACUUCUUUAUUACCCUAUGGGGAACUUUCAGUUAUCGAGUAAUGGCUUUUGGAUUGAAAAAUGCUGGAACUGCUUAUCAAAGGAUCAUAUGAGGACUCGAAAGUUAUUUUAUAUAUUUUUUAUUUUUAAUAAGUUAAUUUAUAUUUUCUUUUUUCCGAAUUUACUUGCCUUAAUUUCUUAGUUGUUUUAUCAUUUGGUACAUGUUAAAUUCAUAGCGCAUUAUACUAGUGUUACCAACUAGUAAGGUGUGUGCAAUAAAUUGGGUGGAUAUAAAGGAGUUUUGUGCAAAGGGGAUUAUGUGACAAGAAGUGUUAAGAGUUAAUUGGAGGAGCAUUAAAGAUCUUGGUGAUUAGAGACAAGUCAAGAGACAAAGAGAUAGGCUUGAACCAAGCUCUGCCAAGUGUCAACAAUCCAAGCAUUCUUUGACCAAGAUAAGUCUUAUAUUUAUCUUCCAAUUUAGUGCCAAAACUCCUUCAUUUUUUUCUUGUAUUGGCUGAAAAUAGAGAGAGUGAAGGGUGAGAAAAAACACCUCAAGUUCCAGCUUGAUUCUUGCUUAAUUAGUGAGAAAACCAACGAGAAACCCUAAUCUACUCUGUAGAUCUUUGAAACAAGUGCAGAAGGAAGCUUUUGGUAAAAUUCUUGGAGGAAGAAAGACUUGACUUGCUUUCCAUCCUAAGGUAUUGAGGUAAUUUGUUAGGCAACUUCUCUUGCUUCUUUUAACUUGAAGUUUAUCUGAUAUAUGACGUAAUAGAAGCUAAAGGAAGCAUGUUUAUGAAAAUUUCAUAUUUUUGUUAAGUUAGAUUGAAAUUUCCAGUUUUGGUGCAAGAUAGAUGUAGUUAGUUUAGAACUUGAUAUAUGUGAAAUUUUGAUAAAUCUUGAACAGUUGGUGAGUGUUUUAACCGCAUGUUAGGACUUGUUACUUGAUUGACAUGUAAACUUGCUUGAUUGAUGAGAUUGUGCAUACAUGACAUGCUCUCCUGAAUAAUUGAUUAGUUGGUUGCCCUUGAAUUGCUAUUGGCCAGGCGGGUGUGUACUUUAUCACACUCGCCCUUACUUAACACCGUUUGCAAGUGAAAUGAUAUUCAUGUGCAUGACUUGAAUGUCGGUUGGGUAUGUUAUCUGGUCAACUAUAUGACGUGCUUGGGAUCCCAAACCCAUCGGCUAGUUGGUCAAAUCGAGCCAGUUAGGGUUUAGUCGAGACGAUUGACGAACCAUGGGCUAUGUUUCUUGUUAUCGGAUCCAGUAUACUCGAAUAUUACUCUACUUAUUUUUUGGCAUAUGGGCCUAGUAAAAGGGGAUGAUCAGUGAACAGAGUCUAGCAUGAAGAGGUGAUCUACUGGACCUUGUUAUUGUAUUUCCAAGAUUGACGAAAUGUCAACGGUUUCGAGACAAGCGGCCAAUGCGAAGAAAAUUUUAUCUUUUUAUUUGAAAGUGUUACUUGUUAUUCUUUUGUCUUGUUAAUGACCUGCCUUGUUAAUGUUUAUUUUCUUCUUCUUCGUUUUGAGAUGGCACUGUAUGUGAUUGUUUUAUGACCAAUUUGCUUGCCUAUUUCUUGGAAUCUCACUGGGCGAUUGUGACAGUUCCACCUUCCCCUAAGGCGUACCCCAAGGGUUAGCGGACCGCCUGCCCAACUCUCGCCAGGACUCAGUCACUCACAUUAAACUUCAGAGAUAAUGUUAACUUCAAGGUAAGCACAAAAUUUCCCAAGAAAUAUUACCAUCAUCCAACUUCACAAAACAUUCAUACUUAGGUACGCAACUAAAUGGAUCAAAAUACAAGUAAAUCAAUCAUCUCACAAAAUAUAAAUAAGAUGGCAAUUACUUAAAAUGAGGGAUAUAACUUUCGAGCUCACUAUUCUUUGGAUGCCAAAUCAAUAACACUAUAAUUCUUCAAAGUAACAUGUACAUGUUACAAAUCAUUCAAAUAUACAAGACAAAAUACAAGCCAAAAGGGUAAGAACUUGAACAACUAGUACUAUAGUACAGUACCGGCCUACAAGUUUAAAAUUUAUAAUACAACUAGUACUAUUCUUGUCUCUCUCAUCCCGUACCCUGUUAAGAAAAACAAAUAAAGAGAUGAGCUAGAAGCCCAGCGAGAUUCCAAGAAAACAUGCAGUCAAAUUGGCAAAAUAUCUUUUACAUAUCUCAAUAUCUUAGAACGAAAAUAGUAAACAGUUACAAGCAGAGUCAUUAACAGCUCAAACAUUCAAAUAAGCUCAAAUAAGCAGAGUCAUUAACAGCUAAAACAUUCAAACAUGCAGUCUACGAGAGAUUAGACUUAAUUAUUCUCAAAUGAGAUAGACGAGAAAGUAGAACACAUGUAAGACAAUACCUCAAGAUACUAUGCCACUUAUUCCUAUUCUGGGGUCUUAACACAAGGGGUACUAUUAUCACUUAUGUACAUAACGAAACGCUAAAGCAUACUUCGUACAUCAAAAGUUCCACACCUUAUCUCAAGUUUUUGCAUACAGGUAUAGAACCCAAAUUCUUUUUCUCAAAAUCUCCAUACAUAAUUCGAAAACUCUCGAUCUCAGCACGAUAAUAAUCAAAACCAAGUCUAUACUUUGACUGAUUAAUAGGUAUCAAGGAGGUAUAGGCAAGGGUAGUUCAUCAAGAGCCGAACUACGGGUAUCUAAUAUCACAAGAGUGAUAGACAUACAUGGGAAAUUGCAGUUAAGUUGGUUCAAAGUCACGUGAAUAUCUAAAAGUCCACACAAACAUAAAAGAAGGGAAAGAGGUCUAUAGUACUAGUUUUUUAAACACACAAGACAGUCUAGCCAUGAUCCAUAGAAACCCUAGCCAAACAUGUUCACUCUUCUCGAUCGGUUUACUCUCAGGUCCAAGACUACAAUCCCCCACGCCUUGAUCUUUGCCAUAACAAUUUACCUCAUAGGCAGUCGUAAAGUUCACUCUCAUCCAAAUGCCCUCAACUCUUGGGUACUCGAGUACAAGAAUCCAAAAAUAAGGUAAUUCACAACUCGAGUUGUCCACUCCCAAGUGUAAAUCAACCACAUUUAAGAUUCCAACCAAGCAUACACAGCUAUUUUUUUCCAAGUAUCAUGAUAAAGGUUUUACGCCUAUAACAUUCAUGAUUCACAACUUAUGCCCAAGAAGAGCACCCAGUCCAUUCCACUUAUUCACAUAAUUGAGACCAUAACACCACUCGGCCCAAGCUCACCCGGCGCAAAGACCACGCGAAACUGCUCUGAUACCACUUGUGACAGCCCCACCUUCCAGUAGGGCGUACCCCAAGAGUUAGCGGACCGCUUGGCUAGCUCUCACCAGAACUCAAUCACUCACAUUAACUUCAGAGACAACAUUAACUUCAAAGUAAGCACAAAAUUUUCCAAGAAAUAUUACCACCAUCCAACUUCACAAAACAUUCAUACUUAGGUACGCAACUAAACGGAUCAAAAUACAAGUAAAUCAAUCAUCUCACAAAAUAUAAAUAGGAAGGAAAUUACUUAAAAUGAGGGCUAUAACUUUCGAGCUCACUAUUCUUUGGAUGCCAAAUCAAUAACACUAUACUUUUUCCAAGUAACAUGUACAUGCUACAAAUCAUUUGAAUAUACAAGCCAAAAGGGUAAGAACUUGAACAACUAGUACUAAAAUAUAGUACCGGCCAAUUACAAGUUUAAAAUUCCUAAUACAACUAGUACUAUUCUUGUCUCUCUCAUCCUGUACCCUGUUAAGGAAAACAAAUAAAGAGAUGAGCUAGAAGCCCAGCGGGAUUCCAAGAAAAUAUGCAGUCAAAUUGGCAAAAUAUCUUUCACAUAUCUUAAUAUCUUAGAACGAAAAUAGUAAACAGUUACAAGCAGAGUCAUUAACAACUCAAACAUUAAAAUAAGUGGUUUAACACCAGCAAGAAAGGAUACGGUACUGAUACGGUGGCUUCCACCAAGUUCUAGGCAGAGCACCCAAGAUUCAAACGUUGAUACAGCUGAUGUGGUGCUCCUACCAGAUUCCAUUCGUAGCACUUAGUUCCGUACAAUGUUUCGCUUGCAGCCAGUUUUGUAGUAACAUUUUUCAAGUCCGUUGACACUCCGUCAACGUUUGAAAUAUAGUAACAAGUCCAGUAGAACACCGCUUACCUCCAAUCUCUGUCCACCGAUCAAUCCCCCACAGGGCUCGAACACCAAGAUAACAGAGAUGGUAAUACUCGAGUAUACCGAUUCCAAAGGACGCAUCGAAUGGAUUAAGCAGUAAACAGAGGAGAAACAGUAAACAGUGAUCAAUACCUAUGGUUCGCCAAUCUCCUCGACCAAACCCUUGCCAGCUCGAUUCGACUCACGAACCAAUAGGGGUUUAGGAUCCCAAGCAGAUAUCAAGUCAUACACAUUCAAAUCAACACACUUGUAAACAAGAUAUAAAGAACUCAGUUAACUUAAGUCGAGUGCGAUAAAAUACGCACUCGCCUAAGCGGUAAUAAGCCAGUUCAAGCAACAAGUCAUUUUUGAGCCACAAGUAGCAUGGAACAUGCAGUUGAAACACUCACCAGUUCAAAGCAGAGCAACGAUAACAUUCGUCUUCGGGUGGCUCUCGAAGACCGUCAAACCCUUAGAGCAACCAAGGUAAAAAAUAUUUAUGAUCCAACUAUCCAAAAUUUAGGUGAACGAAAUUCACAUUUUAGAGUCAACUAUAGGCCAUAUACCUAUCCAAGUUCGCCUGCCAAAGCACAAGGGUUCAAAGAUAAAUUUGGAAGUGCAAUUCAAGGAAAAUCCAAGUACGUACUAGGGCAAUGAUUCAAGUAUAGUUUUAGAAUAAAAGGAAAGCAUUUGGACCCAAAAACGUGAGUAGCCGAAGAGUUCCACAUUUCAUUUCAUUGCUGGAAAUUUUCAGCAGCAAAACAGUGAAGAAACCAAGGUGGUUCACCUCCUUAAAUUAUGAUAUUUACUCCAAAUCAGCACACCAUUGUAGUUCAAUGUUUUAGCAAGUGAAAUGAGCAAGAUUGAGUCCAAAAGACCACCAAAUCAAAGGACUUUAAGGCUAAAAGACAGCAGGGUAUAUAGCUGCCUUGCCUACCAGAAAUUUCAGCAAUGAAACAAGCACAAUCAUGAGGUUUUCACCUUCCAAAAUUCAUAGUUUUCACUCAAGUUCAACACACAAAAGUCUUAACUUGUGUUUGGAACAAGAUUUGGCCUCUUAAAACAUAAAAUUCAAAAACAACUUGAAAGUGCCAAUCGAAGAAUAUCCAAGUGCAAUCUAGAGCUAUGAUUCAAGUAUGUUAUUAGUGUGAAAGGAAAACACUUAGACUCAAAAGAUGUAAGAGAGCAAAAGAGGAAAAUUUAGAUAUUUAUAAUUCAUGAAACUUAGCAAAAUAUACAUAAGAUAUACGCACAACUUUUAGAAGAAAACAACCGACGUCAAGUUUAAAGUUGGACAAAUGAAACUGGAAAGCAUGUCAGAAGAAACCAUUACUUUUUCUCUUAUUUUACACAUGAUUUUGUCAAAAUUUCAGCUUAUACACCACCAUCGAAGUGAACUCAAACAAUCACAUGUAACCUAAGUCCAAACCAACCCAAAAUCACCCUUCUAACAUCACUUAUUUCACAAGAAAGGAAGUAAAUAAAAUUUCAGUAGCACUUCUCCCUAUUUUCUAACUUUUCCAUCUAAACUCAACACCUAUAUUCAUCUCAAUCCAUCCUCUAUUACAACCAUAAGUUAUAGGCUACAAAUUAUACUUGUUUAAGGCCACAAAACCGUCCAAAAUAGCCAAUUUAUCUAACUCAAAAUCAACCAUAACAAAUCUGAAAUUUGAAACCCUAAGCUGAAAUUUCCUAUAAUCAAGCCAAAAUAACAUAUAAAAGCUAGAAAAUUCACAUGGUAAAGCUACUAGAUCAUAGCCAAACUCAAACCAUCAUGUCAAGGCUGAAAUUUCACACUAAAAACUGAAAUUUUCCAACCACCACUUAAACCAUGAAAUUUCCCAUGUAAACUACCAAAAUCAAGCUCUAAAUCCACUCAUAUGCAAGAGAUAAAAGAGAAAAUGGUUUUCUUGAUAUGGUUACCUUGUAACCCUAAGAAGAAAUUGAAGCUAAGAGUUUCUUUCUCCAAAAUCUCUUCACCAAAACCCUUAAUCCUUCCUAAAGGUCAACUUUGAUGAAGUAGAUUGCAAGUUUAUGGUGAAAAUUCAAGGAUUUAAGCAAGAAUUGAAGGUUGAAGAUGAAGUCUCUCUCUCUCUCUUUUCCACUCAUGAAAUUCGACCAAGGGAGGAAGAUGAAGGGUUUUUUUUGGUCAAUUUUUCUUUUAAUUAAAGGCUAAGAAUGGUCUUAGUCAAAGUCAAAGAACCAUGGCUUGUUGACAAAUGUCCUUCUAAUGUUAAUCCUCAUCUCUUUGUCUUUCAAAGGCUAAAAUAUCUAGCCAAUCUCUAAUUAUCCCUUAAUACCUGAUAAAAUAAUAUCCCUUUGCACAAAACUCCUCAUAAUCUUCAAAAAUUUAUCACACACACCAUAUUAGUGGGUCCUACUACCAUAAUGCACUACGAAUUUAACAUGCACUAACUUAUACAUGGAAAAUGAUUUAAAAAAGUGACUCACUUGUAAAAAUAUCUAGAAAAUUAAGACAAUAAAGUAAAAUAAAGAAAAUGUGUUCAAAAAAUAAAAUAAAAUAAAAAAAUUUUUCGGGUCCUCACACUCUUUCCUCCUUAAAAGAAUUUUGUCCUCGAAAUUCUCUCCUUUGCUCACAAAACUCGAUUUUACAGGGUUUUCCUCUACUUCUCAAGAGCUUCCCCUCACUCAUGCCGCUACCACAAACUUGCCUAGAGAGAAAAUCUUAAUAUUGUAAUGGCUAAAUUAACAUGCUAAGAAAGAUCAACAAAGGUAUCAAAAGGUGAAAGGUGACACAAAUUUCAAACUCGAUGAAAAGAAGAUUUGAAAUGUGGUUACUACUCUUACUAGUUCUUAAACUUAUACACUGUACGUUGACAAAUCGACCACAACGUAUGGCCUCUCUCAUCUUUACAACUGUGCCACUUGAUCCGGAUCACCCUCUCUAAUCAAAAUUUCUUCCUUUCGAAGCACAAAUGAAGAAUUCUCGCUUAAAUUCAAGACUAGAUUAUAGUAAUUAAUUCAUGAAUAAGGAUUCAAUGCUGCUCAACCACCAACAUUUAAUAGCACUAAUUAAAAUAUCAGGUACUAAGUUCACUGUUUCUAGCAGAGAUAUAACAUACUACAUAAAACUUUCACUACACAUAAUCCAAUAAUUACAACUAUUUCAGGCAAAACAUCACUAAUUGCUAACUUUGACUAUUACAGCUGCUUCACCAUCACGAAAUUCAUUUGUCUAGGGCAGUUCCUCACUUGAUAUCCAAGUUGGCCACAUCCGAAACUUGCACCAGUUUUCAAAUAAUAUAAUCAUGUAUGAAUUUUGUUACAUAUUUCACAUUUAGUAGCUAUGCAUCUCUUCUUGAAGUGUCCAUUCGUUUUCUUCUUCCUCUCUUUAUCCUUCAUAGCAAGUUCAUCUUCACUAAUCUCUUUACGUUUCCCUUUAGUUUCGAGAAAACUUCUUUAACCCCUUUUAUCUUGAUUACUAGGAAUGUCUUGAGAUGCUACUUGACUAGACAAAUGCACCAAUUCAAAUUUAUUCUGUAUCUCUUCCGGGAUCUUUUCGUAUUUCUUUUUCAAUUCUAUGUUUUUGUGCAGCAGCUCAAUUUUCUCCUAAUAUUCUUGUUUCCAUCAUUCUUCCCAGUGUUCAGCUAAUCACUUUUGGAAUUCUACUUCCUUUCGAAGAGUCUCUAUUUUCUUAUGCAUUUCAGCUAAAUUUGUCAUCUCAUCGAUUCUCUUAAACUCAAGUUGCCAGGCAAAUCAAAGGAUCGAAAUAAGUAACUAAUUACAAUUGGAAACUCUAGCCAUAUAACUUUUAAGUUCAUUCACUCCCAAUCCAACCACGAGAGAUUAAACUUAUUUAUUCCAAAUGAGAUAAACGAGAAAGUAGAACACAGGUAGGACAAUACCUUAAGAUACUAUGCCACUUAUUCCUAUUCUGGGGUCUUAAUACAAGGGGUACCAUUAUCACUUAUGUACAUAACGAAACCCUAAAGUGUACUUCGUACACCAAAAGUUCCACACCCUAUCUCAAGUUUUUACAUACAGGUAUAGGACCCAAAUUCUUUUUCUCAAAAUCUCCAUACAUAAUUCCAAAACUCUCGAUCUCGGUACAAUAAUAAUCAAAGCCACAUCUAUACUUUGACUGAUUAUAGGUAUCAAGAAGGUAUUGUGAUGACUCCACCUCCCCUAAGGUGAACCAAAGGGUUCGGCGGACCGCCUACCUAACUCUUGCCGAGACUCACUCACGUAUCACUUCAAGAGCUAGUAAAGAUAGGUCAAUCAAACUUAACAUAUAUACAAUCAUUACCAUAGAUAUACAAAUCCUCAAGGUUAAGUACAAAAGUUCAGGAUCGAACCAACUUCUAAUACUAUUACUAUUACACAACAAAAACUCUAGUCAAAAGUUUAGUCUUCCUCUAAUCACUCGUCCUUGCUUUCAAACCCUGUAAGGAAAACAAAUUUAACGGAAUAGAGGGAUGGGGUAAAGCUCAGUGAGGUUCCUAUACACAUAACCAAGCAAUUGAAACAAGAACAUUAGUCAUGUAAUAACAAUCAAUCGAGAAAACAUUCACAAUAUAAAAGCAAUGAGAACACACUCAUUAAAAGGAUACAUGCUCACGUGGAGCCAUUCGUUCAUUCAUUCACCAACCAUUUUCCUUAUCUCUCGUUUUGCAAGUGAAAACCCCUUCAAUAUUCUUUAUUGAUUUCAUUUCCCACCACUAGCCAAUUCACUGGCCAGUUCUCCACCAACUUUCGUGGUCAUACUCGAGUAUACCAAACAUUAUCCCAAGGUCACCAGUCGCCUGACCGAGUCCAUUUCUGGCUCGAGUCGACUGGCAACGAAGGGCAAAGGCCCAAUUCAGCCAAAAGGCUUACAUUCAUGCACAAGUAGCAUUCAAUCAUUGAAAAUUCACUUUUUGCUUGGGUCGAGUGCGAUAAAGUACACACUCACCCAUCGAAAAUCCAUUUAAUAAUCAUUAGAAAGUAUUUAACACUCAAGCAAAUAUUCACAAUAAGUACACAGUCAUUUAAUACACAAACAUGCAAGAAACACUCACCCUAAACAGGUCAUGUUUUAUCAAAAUUCAGUUCAGGGCCGGAACCUUGGCCACUCUCGAAAUUUGCAGCCAAAUAUUGUCCACAAAGAGCCACUCAUACAUGAGUACAAGCUGCACAACUUAUAUUUCUAUAUCAAAGGAAAAAAACAUGAAAAGUAUAGUAAGCCAUAUAGGCAAGGUGCACGCAUAAUUUGUAAAAGAAAAUGAUCAAAAACGGUUAAAUUCAAAGCCAAUAUGUUCAACUAAAAAUCAUGUUUUGAAUGCUUGUUUAGAAUGUUAGAAAUCAGGUUUAGAACACUUGAGAAGUACAUGUUAAGUCAGACCAAGGAAACGGAAAACAAGAGAAAGGCAACGAGAAACAAUGAAGAUGGCAGCUUUGCCAUUCUUUGGUGUUUUGAUCACAACUGAAGGUACACUUAACGGAUUGAGGCAAAGUUUAUGGUGUUUCGAAGUUAAGACAUAGACCUAUAUUUCCUAUGAAGACAUCGAUGCCCAGUUCUCAAAUUUUCGGGGUAAAACAUGGACGGUCAGAAGCACAUGAAAAUAGGUCAGGAAAAUUAGAGUUUUUGUACAGUCAGGAGUUCUCUGGCCAAAUCAUAAGCUAAAAUGAUCCAAUUAAUCUGAAAUUUUGCAGGUAGAAAGUUAACUCAAAUGCCUAUAACUUUCAUGUUUUGUCCAAAAGCUGAUUCAGUCCAUAAUUCAGUCAAAUUUGAACCUCAAGGUGCUACUUCAUCCAGUAAAAGACAGAACAGGUAUGCAAUUUCAGUCAACUUUGAAAAAUCACAGAUAUUCAUGGGAAUUGUGAAAAAGGUUGAAAUUUUCACGGUUGAUACUAUUCUAAAUCUAUUUUCAAAUGCACAAAGGGAACUAAAUUCUGACUUUUUUACAACAAGAUAUAGCAGAUUUCCUAAGGCUGCCCAGGGUUUCCUGCGGACAAAAGUUUCAGCGGCACCUCCUUUGUGUUUACUACUUUUUCCAGCCAAUUCAAGGCUUCAUUCUUACCACAAAAUAGCCUCAACUCAAGCAUAUACAUGCCAAGCCAAUAACUCACUAAAUCAAGCAUCUAACCAUCACCUACUCAAGCUAGAAAAUAAAACCCUAAGCUGAAAUUCCUACUCACAAGCUGAAAUUUUCUUUAGGCAAGUCAAACUAGCAUAUAAAAGCUAUGUAUGUCACAUAGCUAAGCUACCAAACCAUGGCCAACACUUAAGCAUCAUCUAUGGACAGAAAAUUCACCAUAAAACUGAAAAUUUUCACAACUUCACUUCAAACCAUGAAACUUUCUCAUAAAACUAUCAAUUUUGCAACCCUAAUCCACUAAUUUGCAUAUAGUUGAAGUAGAGGAAAGUGUAUUACCAAAGUUACCUUGUAACCUCAAGAAAGAUGGCAACUUAAUGCUUCUUCCUCCAAAAUCACUCCACCAACACCUUUAAUCUUCCUUUGUAAGCAACUCUUUUGGAGUGGUUUGCAAAAUUUAUGGUUGGAGCUCAAGAUUCAAGCAAGAAAGUUGGGAUUGAAGAUGAAGUUUCUCCCCUUGGUUUUUCCUCUCUAAUAUUUCGGCCAAGAGGUGAAAAAAUGAAGACAACUGGUGGUCAAAUGUGGUUUUAGUAAAGUUAAGAAGACUUGGUCAAAGUCCAAUAUCCAACGGUUUCGCAACACUUGGCUCUUUUAGGGUUUGAUCUCAUCUCUUUGUCUUUCAAAACUAAUAAACCUAGCUACCCUCUAAUUAUCCCCUAGCACCUUGUAAAAUAAUAUCCCUUUAUGCAAAACUCCAUCUAGUAGUCAAAAAUUUAUCGCACUUACCACACUAGCGGGUCCCACGUCCAUAAUACACUUCAAACUUAACAUGUACUAACUUAUGUCACGAAAAUGAUUUAAAAACUUGACUCACUUAUAAAAAUAUUGAGGAAAUUAAGGCAAUAAUUUAAAGUAAAGAAAAUGCAUUCAAAAAAAUAAAAUAAAUAUAACCUAAUUUUUCAGGUUCUCACAGGUAUAGGCAAGGAUAGUUCAUCAAGAACCGAACUACGGGUAUCUAAUAUCACAAGAGUGAUAGACAUACAUGGAAAAUUGCAGUUAAGCUGCUUCAAAGUCACGUGAACAUCUAAAAGUCCACACAAACAUAAAAAUGAUAUUUAAAAAAUGAUAUUCAAAUCUUUUUUAAAAAAUAAAAUGUUGAAGAAAGAAAAUGAUGAUUUAAAAAAGAUUGAAAAUGAUGAUUUAAAAUAGAUUAAAAAUGAUAUUGUUUGCAAUCAAAGUGAUUUGAAAAAAAAAUGGAUAAGAAAACAAAAUUUUAUGAAAAAAUUAAAGAAGAACAAACCCUAUUGAGAAAAAUAAUGAAUGAUUUUAGUGAUUUUCUUAAAAAAGAGAAACAAAGUGUUUUGGAAAAGAAAGAUAUUAGUUAUACUUUUAUUAAUAAAAUUUUACUACCUAUAGAAACAAUGAAUCAUAUUUUGCUAGAUCAUUUCAUCUGAGAAAUAUGCAUAUUUUAUGCGAUCAUUGUUGUCAACAUGGCUAUAUGAAAAGUGAGUGUUAUGUGAAAAGAAAUAUAAAUUUGGGAAUGAAAACCAUUUAGGUAUUGAAGGAUACAAUUAAACGCUAUGGAUCCAAAAAUAAGUGGGUACCAAAAGUGAGUUCUCUUGUGUAGGUGCUCAAGAAGAAAUUGAUCCAAGUCAAACUUGAAAAAUGAUAUAAAAUUUCUCUUGAAGUCAAAAGAAUAAAAAACUAGAAAAGUGUGAAAGAAAAAGGUAAAUUAUGCAUCUACCUUGGACAAUGAGGAUGAUAACCAAUAUAUGUAGAUGGAAUGAUAUUGAGCUAUAUUUUCAAUAUUUAACUUUUUUUACCUCAAAUUGUGUAUGAGACAAAUAGGUGAUAUUUGAAUGUUUGAUUGAUGUGUAUUCUAGUUUGUACUGUUGUGAGAAUAGAAUACAUAGAUUUAGAAUGUCUAUUUGUUUUGAAGUUCUAUUCAUAUAUGUCCUAUGUGUAAAUGUGUUUUUUAAAAUAAUAAAUUUGAACAUACAAUUAUUUGAUCUUGUUAACUCCCAAUUUUUUUAGCUCAUGACUUGCAAAAGAAAGGGAGAGGUUUUUUGAAAUUUCUUCUUCAUGUACAAUGUCCCUUUAUACUUAUUUAUUUUUUUAUGAUGUCAAAAGGCGAGAAGAUUGAAUGAUAUUUCUUUGUAAAAUGGAUUUGUACUCAGGUGGAUUUUAUUUGAAUUUAAUUCAUCAAAAAAACCAUCAUUUUAUUUGUCAUCAUAAAAAAGGGGGAGAUUGAAGACUUAGAUUGAUCAAUCCUUGGCUUUGAUGAUAAUGAAAUAAUAUAAUGAUUUGGACUAAUGUUCUUAUAUGAGAAAUGAUUAGGUACAGGUAUCUUGCAAAAUGGAAAAAAGAGGAUAACAAAUCAAGAAGGAUUAAAAAGGAAUAUUACCUAUCGGAUGCAAGGAUCGGACGCUCAGCACAGUAUUGGACGUUCGACAAUGAGUGAGUACACAUUAGGGAUUUCGAUUGGACACUUAUCCCUUCUACUGGCAUUUCGACUCAAAAAGUGUUGAAACUUGAAUCUUCUAUUUUCUAUCGGACACAAGGUUAUUGGACAUCCGGCAGGUCCAAUGGCUAGUUUUUUAACUAUUAGAGAUUCUUUUGGGACAAUAUUUUACCACCUAUAAAUAUCCCCAUAUAUGAGAAAAAGAUAGAAUUUUGCCUACAAAAGAUACAAGCUUUUAAGAGUGAUUUUUGGGCUGAAAAAUAUUUUGAAUAUUGUAUAAGUGUACGGAGUGUUGGGUUUGUGAGGUUUCUCAUUGAAAAGAAAUAAAGCCUUGGAUAAGGUGAGCCUCAUUUAUAAGUAAUUCUUGAUUGGUUGAGUGAGCUUUCAAUUGUAACUAGUUGGGGGUUAACUAGGAGAGUUGUAAAACUCUUUCACUUAACUAAAGGAUUUUAGGCUGAGAAAGGAGUGAACUUUCACCUGUACAAGUUAGUUAGUGUCACUAUCAAUUGAAAAAGUUGCUUGGUUGAUUCAACUCCAAGUUUAGAAGAAAUUUGAGAGUUUGUUUGGUUUACAUUUCUCUCUUUCUCUUAUUUUAUUGUAUGGUUAAAUUGCUUCAUCUUUAUUUUUAUUUUGUAUGCUUGAGUGUGUGAUCACUUAAAGCUAAUUUUGGUUAGUUAAAAUUGUGUGAAUACCUGGCCGGAUUGCCUGGCCGGGUGAAUUAGGUUAGUUUCUGGCCGGAUACCUGGCCGGAUUGCCUUGCAGUUUUGAAAAAAAUUGAAUUGGCCACUGCCUUGAAUCCGGCCGGAAAUCCGGCCAGAUUCUGGCCGGAUUCUGACGUGGCAGGCGCGGCAGCCACUUUUGACCAGCUAUUUGGCUUGAUAAAUAUCUUGUUUUGGCUGUUUUUGCUCUUCAUUUUGCACUCUCCUUGGCCGGCUGUCUUGGAGAGAAAACAAGAAAGGAAAAAAACUCCAUUUCCUCCCUUUGAUUUCCUUCUUUAAAUCUUGAGUUUUAACCGGUGGUUUUGGAAAAUAUUUCACUCAAGUGCUCUCUAGGGUGGUUUAAAGCUUUUGAUGGAUUGAUUUUGGAGGGGAAGCUCUAAGGUGUUAUCUUUCUUGAACUUGAGGUGAGUUGCUAAGAAAGUUGCUAUUUUGGUUUACUAAUGGUAUAAUAGUGCUUUGUAGUGAUUAUAUAUGUUAUAUUGUGGAUGAUUUCAUGGGUUUCAGUUAAGUUGGUCCAAUUUCUGAUUUGUUGGGUAUUUUUCUGAAUUUAUAUGAAGGUCAUGAUUUGUGUUGGAUUGAUGGUUGGUAAGGGUGUUAAAUAGACCAUUGAUGCGUUAAUUGUGAUCGUUUGCGGAAAAAUUCUGGUUUGUACGGAAAUUCCGGUUUCUAGGGUUUCAAUUUGGGGGAUUUUCUAAUGGUUGGCUUUAAGCUUCUAAUUGGCUUGAUUGAGGGGUUUUGUGGCCCUAAUUGGAUAUGUUUUAUCAUUUACAAACCGUAUGUACAAUUGUGGUUAAUUACUAUAUGAUUGGGUAUUUGAUUGUAGGUUGAAAAUAAGGAAAUGUAGGGGAAAUGCUGCCCGAACUUUGAAAGGGCUUGAUUGCUUUGCGUUUGUGAUUUAGGGCUUGGACUUGAGUGAAGUAAUGCUAUAUGAUGGAUAGUUUCUGAGCCGUGGAGGUGAGUGACCCUAAACUAUUUCCAAAGUACUUGUGGAACGUUUCUUGCAUUAUUUACUUUUGAACUGUUUCCAAAGUUACUUUUGAACUGUUUCCCAAGUUACUUUUGAACUGUUUCCAAAGUUACUUUUGAACUGUUUUCUUGCAUAUCAUGCGUGCUUAUAUGAGAGUGUUCCUUUUUGAUAUAUGUUUGCUUAUAUGCGUGCUUAUAUGAUAAUGUGUUAAGUGCUUUCACUGAUUGUUAAAACGAGUUUUCUGGGCGAGUGUGUACUUUAUCGCACUCGACCUAAAUAAAUGUGAAAUUUUCAUGAUUAAUGAUUAAAUGCUACUUGCGCAUGAAUGUAAGCCUUUUGGGCUGAACUGGCUAUUGCCCCUUGUUACCGGUCGUCUCGAGCCAGAAGCGGACUCGGUCGAGCGAUUAGGGACCUGGGUGAACGUUUGGUAUACUCGAGUAUUACCUUUGUAGGUUGGUGGAGGUUGGUGGAGCCUGGACAAUGUCCGGGAGAUGCAAUUUCAAAUGAAAAAAAACAAGGAAAUGGCAGGAGAACGAACGUAUCCUUUUCAUGAAUGUUACUAUCGCUUUCCAUUGUACAUGUUUCUUGAAUUAUUGAUACUCCAUAUUUAAUGUUUUGUAAAUGUUGUAAUUGUUUCUAGAUUGAUCAUUUGAUUUAUGACAUCAUUGAAAUGAACUAUUGUUAAACCGAUUUGAUUACUGAUUUUAUCGGUUACUCGCUGAGCUUCUAACUCACCCCAAAAAUGUUUUAUUCCCAUCCACAGGGCUCAAGGCGAAAAAAGGGCUGGUAGUGCUUAUUCAUGGAUUAUCUCAUGUAUAGAUUGCAUUUGGAUUUCCUUUUGUGUAAGCGUUCAUAUUGGGAUUGUAUUGAACAUUUAGAAUUGAUUGGAUGUGUAAUAGUCUAGUUUUGGACUUCCUCCUGUAUAAUAGUUGGUAUCAAGGAUCAGAGUGGCGCAGUGGAGUGAACGCUUCGCUUUUGAUAUGUAAUUAUUGGUUAAUUUGAUGUAUAUCUGAGUUUUCGUUUGAGGUUUAUAGUGAACGACUGAGUUCCGGCGAGAGCUGGGCAGGCGACCCGCCGAACCCUCUGGUUCGUCUUAGGCGGAGGUGGGGCUGUCACACUUAUACACCAUGUUUCAAACUUCAAGUAGUUUCGAGUUUUAUUGGUAGCUUAAUAGUUUAUUUUCAAUAUUUCUAAUUAAUUUGGUAGGAAUAAAUUCGGUUCAAAGGAUGCAUCGAAUGGAUUAAGCAGUAAACAGAGAAGAAAUAGUAAACAGUGAUCAGUACCUAUGGUUCGCCAAUCUCCUCGACUAAGCCCUUGCCAGCUCGAUUCGACUCAUGAACCAAUAGGGGUUUAGGAUCCCAGGCAGAUAUCAAGUCAGCUCGAUUCGACGCCCCCACUUCUCCCAAGGGCGAACCCAAGGGUAUCCGCGGGACGCCUGUCUAACUCUCGCCAGGACUCAAGACAAUUCAAUUCAAACUUAACGUUACAUGCCAAAUAAUACAAGUCUAAAAUGAAGAAAAGUUACUUCUUUAAUUGAAUAUCCAAAUCUUACAUCAUGUUUUUAAAAGAUAAAUCUAGUCCCAAAAUACAACCAUUAAAAGUUGACUAAAUAUUUACAACCAAAAUUCCAAUCAAAAGUAUAAUCUAGUCGGUUUUUCCAAAAUCUUCCAAUCCAUCUGUUAAGGAAAACAAUUCUACGGGGUGAGCGAUUGCUCGUAAGGCCAAGAAACACACAUGCAGGCACAUAGUUCAAGUAGCAAUCCCAAUUUAGCAAGUAAAACAGUAAUAUUCAAGUAAUUACAAUUCGAGUGAGAAAAGUAAACAGAAACAAUUCAAGGAUAUGGGAGUUCUCAAGAGCUAAUUUCCACUUGCUUUGCCAAUGCUCGAUCAAUUACCUCCCCGUGACGACACUCUGUCAACCGAGUCGAUAUUUAGUCCGUAGAAACUCCACUUACCCGUUCUCCGUCCACCAUACAUACCCCACCGUGCCCGAACUGCUAUAAAGGCACUACUAUACGAGUAGGUCAAGCAUGAUCUCUUCAAUAGAUCAAGCUUUUAGUUUUUCUCAGGGCUCACCAAGCUUCCCGACCAAGCCCUUGCAGGUUCGAGUUGCAAGUUCGGCCGAUGAGUUUGGGCGUUCCCCAAUUCAGUUGUGUAUCGAGGAGAUUCACUCCAACGAUAUGUAUACAGUUCAGUUAAAGGUCGUGGAGAUUCACUCCAACGACAUAUGCAGUCAUAGUAUAUAAUUCAGUUCAGGUAAUUCAAUUCAAUUCAAGCAAUUACAUUUCGAUUCAGUUAAAUGAGAACGAGUGCGAUAAAGUACACACUCGACUCAAUAGUUAUAAUUUUUCAGUCCAAGCAGCAAUUCACAUAAUUGCAACAAAACAUGCACUUGACACUCACCUAGUCAAAAUAAGAGAGUGGUGCAUAAUCAAGUAUUUAGGCAUCCAUUGUGAGAUCCUCUUGAAGGUCCCCUUGAGUGCCUUAGCAAUUAAUAAUUGACUAUCACACACCAUCGUUUAAAAAUCCGUAUUUAACAAGGGUGAUUGUGUCGCGCCCCAUUUUUUAUAAGAGAAAUAAAUGGUUUAAAAAGUGAAUUUUUUAUUCAAUUUUUGGUUGGAAAAUGAAUGUUUGAUUUAAAAAGAAAAUGAAAAAUAUGGGUCUAAAUGGGACUUGAAAAUGCGACGAUUUGACCCAAAAUAUAGUUUAAAAAGGGUUUUUGAAAUAAAAAUCGGAGUCGCCACUUGAUAUAGAGUUAAGGUGUACCAAGUCACCUAAAAUGAAUUUUUUAGAGGAAAAGGUAGAAAGAAAACCCCUUUUAAACGACUCCUAGUCUAUGUAAACCAACGAAAAAGGUUCGGGAGUCACAUUUGACGAAGGGGAAGGCAAGGAUAAAAAUCCAAGGCACCCCUUCGACCUAGUCAAGGCUAAUUGCGUGAUUUAGUCAAAGAUUUUCUUGUUUUAACCUUAAGAUUCAUCACAUUUGGAUGUACUAUAUGAAUGCAUACCCUAGAUCUAGGAGGGCAUCGGGGGGCAAAAUUUCUCUUCAAAGCUUGGAUGGUGCCAAUCACAUUAAUUGUGAUGCCCAAUAAUGACUCUUUGGAGAUGUCACGAAUAAUGUAAAAAUAUGAGAUUCUAAGAAAAAGAAAAGGAUAAAAUAAUUAUAGAAAUAUACAUGUCUUAAAGGAAUGCAUCAUGUCGGGUACGGGGGACUAAUGUUCGUGACUCAAUUUUCCCUUUAAUAGAGGGAAUACGAGCGUGCUAAGGCUAGAAAGCCAAACUCAUCCAUAUCCCAUAUUCAAGGGGUUUUCCUAUCUAAUCAAGCAAAUGAUCCAACCUAAUUCUAAUGCUUAGAUGAAAUGCAAGUCUAAUGUCACGUUUCAUACGAAGGGGGGCAAGUAAUAUACAUAUAAGGGAAAAUAUGGAGGAAUGGAUAAACAUAUAUAAGGGAAGUGUCAUGCAACAUGGUAAAAAGGCCCUAGAGAGUAAAGAUAUGCAUGAGAUGAAGUGAUGUUAUCACACAAUCAUGAUCUAACGUGCGGAUGGUUCCUAAGGGUCUAGCGUUGGACUAGCCCAUGUUUCUACUUUCUCACUAGCGUUGGACUAGUGAAAAAUCGAACAAGAAAACCACAACAAGCGUUGGACUAGUGUGGUAUCGAGAAAUGAAUCACAACUAGCGUUGGACUAGUGUGAUAACGUCACUAAUUAAUUAUAAUCUCAUAAAAGCAUAAUAAAGCGAGUAAACACACAAUGUCACAUAAACACAUAACACAUAAUCAUGAUAUCUAAAUGUAAGGCCCUAAGAAAUCGGUAACACAUAGCACGUAAGCAUGCAAAACACACAUAAGGCAAGAAGAAAGCAAAUAAAACCCUAGCUAUUACAUUUGAGAUGGGGCCUACUACAAUCUAAGGGGAAUGAAUUAAAUAAAUAAAAUAAAUACCUAACUAUUACAAAUCUGGCAUUCAAGUGCCUUUCACAUGAUCGAAAUUGAAAAUAACUAAAACAAAUAAAGUGGAUAAAUAAAUAAAUAAACAAAAUGAAAACAUUCAAAAGGCAUGCAAUUGAGCACAUAAAUCACAUAAACACAUAGGGUCAAAGAAAGGUAAAAUAAGGGAUAGAGUGUACCUCCCUUGCAAAUGGUAAUCAAAUGAGGAAAAAAUAGCUUCAAAACAAUAAAAGGGUCAAGGCAUCGCUUUAAUUCGCAAAUAACCAUGAAAUUGAAAAUAAACAUGAAAUUGAAUCAUUCAAACCAUUCAAAUAAACUAAACAACCCAUAUUCAUCCAAUUGAAACAAACAAAGACCCAUUUGAAAGAAUUAAAGAGGUUCGAGUGAUCAAUUUAUUACUGCGAAUAUUAAGGGUACGCUUGAGAGGAAACCUACCAAUCAAAUGAUAAAACUCACAAAGACAAAUGAAAACAAAUUUGCCACGGUUAAACAAUUAAAAUCACCAAAAUUCCACAAACCAAAAACAAAUCAAAUUAACACUACAAAUCUAGAAAAGAAAAGUUAUAAGACUCUUCAAAGUCGUCUUAAAACUCAUUGGGAAUCGGCCCAAAACAAGUCAAAACAUAUUAAAGAAAACAUGUAUGUUAGGAGGACAAAAUUGGUUGAAUUAUUCAAUUAGUUGGGCCCUAGUGGCAUUAGACAAGAAUCCAGGGGUUGGAAUGCAACUAUUGGAAGCUUUUCAUGCAACCCAUGCAAUCCACGAAAGAAAACAAGCUUCUGCAACACUUUCUAUUAAGCUUCGGCAAAUGAGACAAACCUGUUGCACCUUGUGUUCAAAUGCAAAUUUCAAACCCGAACACACAGCUUGAGAGAUGAUCGAGCUCCGCAGUAGAUCCACGAGACCUGCCGCAACCUUGAUGAAGGAAUCCGCAAGUGAAAGUAUGGAGAUCCGGCAACCUCCCCCGGCCGUUCCUGGUUCCUCCGCCGUGAGCUUUUUUUUUUUUUUCCUCCAAAGCUGCGUCUUUCUUUCCUCCCUAAACCCUAGCCAUUCUCUACUCCUUUCUAUCUCUCAAACUCUUAUCCUGUUUUUUUACCCAGCCGAAGCCUCACUCUG
rnacentral:lncRNA from 1 species